UGUCACAUCCAACCCAAACAGGCUCUUCUCCAAGAUAGUUAAGAAGGGUGAUGUAUUCGUAUUCCCAAAAGCAAUGAUUCACUUCCAAAUGAACCUGGCGCAUGACAAGCCAGCAGCCGCCUUGUCCUCGCUCAGCAGCCAAAACCCUGGGGUUAUUUCUAUCGCCAAUGCAGUCUUUGGAUCAAAGCCACCAAUUUCAGAUGAUGUUCUAGCCACGGCGUUUCAGGUGGAGAAGGAUCUGAUUCACUGGCUUCAAUCUCAGUUCUGGGAGAAUAACAACUACUAGAUACUCUCUUUCAUCUGGGCAUAUGGAAAGUUCAUAUGUAAUGCUAGUAUAUAGAAUAAAUGGCAUGUAGUAAUACGUAUGCAUGCAUGGUUGUGAGCUGUGAAUUUUCAUUUUCCUUUUGAAGCGUGACAUGAUAUGUUUCUUGUCGGAUUCAUGUCAGAAUGUGUUGGUGAUGAUUGUUUUCACUGUUUAAUGAAUGGAAUACAGAGGUGCUCCUUUGCCUUGUUGCUGAUAUAGAGAGAUCCGUGAUGUUAAUGACAAAGCAGCAAUGAUUGGACAUGCAUGUUAUUUCUAGACCCAGUUUACAUGUACUUAAAACUUGUUUUUGCCCGACAAGGUGAUUUGUUCACUGGAAACCAGGAAACGCAAACUUGUUCUGUGGCGAGAAAUCAUUUAGCAUGCUGGAAACUUAGAUGCCAUCGUUUAGCGGAUUAAGCAUCAUAGAUGGAAGAGCAGGGAUAUAGUUGUUAUGAUGUAGUUGCUCGCUAUCAAGUAUCUGCAUUCCCAAUAAUGGUUACAAGUAAACAAAAAAGAUGGGGCACAUGAUCGUAUUGGUUUCGCACCAAGAUUGGGCUAUACACCUAUUUAUAAUAUGGAGCGUCAUGGCAUGUGGAUUAUUAGUCCAGAUCUAUCUACAGAAUGGGUUUGGAUUAUUAGUCCAGACCUAUCUACAGCCUACAGGGCAACUCAAUUGGCAGUCUAUUCAGAAUCAUAUUCUUUCAAAGUUGUAAAUGCAUGCGCAGACACAAACUCUUGAUGGACAGAAGUUGCGGCAAUCUACGCGGGUUGUGUGGAUCUAUUAGUGGAGAUAUGGAGCGUUCAUUUUAAGCAUUGUGUGGAUCUAAUUGUGGAGAUACAGAGCGUUUUACAUGAAGCAAACUGUGCCGCUCAUGAGAUUGCUAGAUACAAUGGUUGUUUUUUUAGAAAUGCUAGAUAUAGUUUUGAAAGUAAGCUCUCUUGUAAGUGGGUCGAUGAAACCCCAUAUUUUAUCCUUAAUUCUCUUGUAAACAAUGUACGUGUUAUUUGAAAUCAAUAAAGUAAGCCAUGAUGGCGUCCGCUAUAGUUAGUCUUUUCAGAAGACCCUCUGAGAAGCCUCUUUAUAUAGGUGGCAAGGGGCCCCAUUAUACACAAAAAAUAUCAUUGAUCAAUAAAGUUGAGGAGUCUUCAGCUACAUUUUUGUGCUUCUUUUGUGCUUAUAUUUGGCGUAGUAACAUGAUCAUUACAUUAAAUUAUCGGUAUUACAGUACUUGGUAGUCACGUACACUCCCACACACUUGAUUGGAUUUUAUUUGGGAAUAAUCGCUUUGGUUUUUAUCUUGAUCUAUUGACACCGUUAUCAAAACAAUUGUUAUUGAUGAUCCUAAGAAAUAAAAACAAAGCAACAUGCAUUGAAGGGGUUAUUUCCACACAUGAGUUCACGUGACAAUAAUCUUUGAAUUAAUAAAUACGACAUACUUUGUACUGGGAAAGCAUUGUCGGUCCGUCAUCAAGAAUUGACCAUACUACUUAGUUCAGUCACGAAAGAGACCCGUAAUAAGUUAAUAAUAAUUGAGGAAAUCCAUUUCAUGCACCAACGCAAGUACGUGGAUCAAACACGUCUCCAUCAUUUGACCCGUCGCCAUUUUUUCUGUUAGUGGUUACUUGCACGCAAAUAAAUGCAGUUGUAGACUUGUAGUGUCGUACCGACAUCUGUUAGGUGGAUGCCAAACCAUAUUUAUAUGUUCUGAUGAGAAAAUUCUUACAACACAUACAUGUAGAGGAGAUGGUACAACCGUACAAACAUGCCAAAUUUCAGGGUCAAAACCUUAUGUUGAUCUCGUAAUCCGAGGUCAACACGCCAACACAUGAGUUGAUAGCUUCUUGCCCUGUGAGAGGUUGAUCCAAUCCAACAUGGAUAACGGAUUAUGCGGCACACGAUGAGGAAUUGAAAAUGAAAUGUUGACGACUGUUUAGUGUGUGGACAUUCAUAGUUCAUGUCAUCAUUUUUUUUAUUUUGCAGGGAAAAACUGAUUGCAUUAAGUAAACAUAGUACUCCCUUCCUACCAUCAUCUUAUAUUGUGCAACACAAUCAAGGUGGAGAGGAAAACGAGAGAAGAUAAUGUUCAUUUUGUUAAUCAAUAUUAUUACAUGCAAUGAACUCAUUACUGCAAGCCGUGUUAGGUAGUCUAAAGUCAUUAAACAUAUACAUGUUCCAUGUCUCUAAGUGGAAAUUAAUGCACCACGCUUAAGUGUUUUCGAAUUAUUUGGUUAUGCGGCACACGAUGCAGGAUUGAAAAUGAAAUGUUGACGAUAGCUUAGUGUGUGGACAUUCAUAGUUCACGCCAUCAUUUUUUUUGCGUGGAAAAACUGGUUGCAUUAAUUAAACACAGUAUUACAAUCAUUCUUUAUAACGCUAACCUUCCUAGUUUUGAAUAGUCCACAUUCAAUUCAGGUCUUCAAUUAGAAUUGGAUCACCUGAUUUUGACUAAGUCAAUAAUUUCUUAAAGCUCUUCCGUUCAAUUCUUUUAUACUAUACAAUGUGUUUCCUAAUUUUUAAAGUUGCACAAUUAAUUCAGGUAUUCAAUUUAGAAUUGGGCCAUCCGGUUUAGACCAGGUCAACAAUUUCUCAGGCUCUCUCAUUCAAUUCUUUUAGCUCACUAUCUUCCCUAAUUCUCUCAAGUUCAGAGCAUAUAUAUCAACAUCCCAAUGCUAAACAAAAAAGGUAUAGAAAUUCAUUUCACGAUGAAUCUAAAAAUAUUGAUUUGAUAUAUUUCUCUAUAAAUUUGAUCAAACAUAAAAGGGUUACAUAUUUGAAAAAGCAAUAGACCUUGUAUUUGGAAACAAAGUGAUUGUUUGUUAAAGAAAUUCGACAACACACCAACGGUGUAGCAAAGCGUGCCAAACCCUUCUAGUCUUGGAUGAAAUCACAAACUUUCGAAGGAAAAUUCCCUAGCCAACCAGUGGUGCGCUGCUUAUCCUAUUUGGCUCACCGUGUCCUAGGCAGUGCAAGGAGAGGUGAAACCGUGAAAGAGGUGUUACAUGUUACCCAAACAACUUUGAAGCUAAAUAUCUCGGGCUCUCGGUGCCGGAUGAGAGAGGAAUAAAUGAAAGUUCAAAAGCUUACACGAGAGACUAGCAAAGCGCCUGCUUCAAUGCAGGUGAAAUUUACCUUUCUCGAGAUGGGAAGGAGAUCAUGUUAAAGGCCGUCGUUGUGCAGGCACUACGAGUGUACGUGAUGGGUGUUUUCAAACUCCUAAUCGGGCUUUGUCAUGACCAAACAAAGAUGAUGACACACUAAUGGUGAUGUGCGGACAAUGAAAAAUGGCGGUCUCAUGGGAUCUCUUGUGACAUUAUGCACGGGUCAAAGGUGAUGGGAGGAGUGGGGUUCAAGAGUCAGCGGCUCCUUAAUCAAGCAUUGAAAACGGGGCUAGCAUACGGGCAUGGCAUGACCCCUGGAUCCCUUGCGGUGCAUCAUACAGAUCGAUUACCACACAACAUAAUUUUCAUCUGUGUUGGGUCAUGGAUUUCCAGAUGGUUGAUGAUUCAUGCAUGCCUUCAUGGAAUACUCAACUCAUAUAGUAACACUUCUUCAUUGUGGAUGUUGCAAAGAUUUUGAAUAUCAAACCAUUGAGGCGCCUUGAGGAAGACUUCAGGCCGAGUGAUUGCAGCCAUCAUGGGAGGGCAUCAUUCGGUGCUUCAAGUACAUCGGUGUGGUCGUGACAAGCGCCAUCCUGGGGUAAAUCACAAGUUCUACAAUGGCGGCUUCCCUCUCAUCUGAAGCACGCUUCUUUGGAGUGCUACUUGGGCCUCAACCUCAACCCCAUGUACAAGCACAGCGACGUAGGAUAUAGGAUACCUAAACGUUCAUUUUUUUUGAAACUGGCGGAACACCAUAUUCGUAGAUCAUCGAUUUAAUGACUUCAGCUCGAGGUUUUGAAUCAACUAUCGGAGCCGAUUUCAUCUCUUGAGUACAGUAUACUUUUGAAACAACCUUCUCACUUGUCAAUUACUCGUGUGGAGAUUUGGCGAGUUUCCGUUGUGAGGCCUUGGAGACCCUUCGAGCAUGACCAUAUGCAUGUGCCAUCGACGGUUACUGCUUACAGUUACAGGUGACGAUAUCAUGGUCGCAUCAACGGUAAUGAUAUGAGGUUGUCGUCGUCUCAAAUGUCCUAAAUUGUUUGGUAUAUUCUUGUCUUCUUAGCUGUUCUAUAGUCUCUUGCAUCCUUGGCGCUUUUAUUUUUCAGUUUUUUUAUUUUUAGUUUUGUAUUAAUGGAUGUAAUGUUUGGUUGUGGCUUUAUAUAUAAAGCCUUUAAUAAAAUAGCUUACAUGCGCCUCAGAAACAGGAAGCGAGCUAAGAAAAAGAAAUAGGACACGUUUGCUUACCCGCCUCAUCGAGGCCCGCACAGGAAGAAAAAGGAUCGUUUGGUUACCCUCAUUGACUGUUUGGCCUGCACAGUACGAACAUUAAAGCACCUUUGUUGAGUCAGGCCCAAGCGAUGCAACCCUAGGCACGUGGGCGUGGGCGGUUGCACGCAUGGAUGCAGCCUCGAGACGUCGCGUUAUUUCCCCAAUCGACGUCAUAAAUUACCCUCACCUCCCUUCGGGGGGGGGGCCCUCUUCCCCACUCACAUCAGCGAUGGCGAUCACCGGAGCGACAACACGAGGAUCUACGAUAGCAGCGACCAUCGCAGCGACUUCAGACCUCCGCCACAGCGCAUCGGCCAUGGCGGUAAGUCCUUUUCCCUAUCUACAUUGGCCAUGACUCGGGCUAGAUCUAUUUUGAGCACGGGAUUGGAGAAUUAGGGAGGGGAUUGAACACAUGGAGAUUGGGGAAUUGGAUUCAACACCGCCCUCAUCUUCAGUUCUUGGCUAAUCGAUCGAUUACAUCGGGGGUGGAGAUUGGGGUACUACCUAAUUUUCUAGCCACGAUGACCCUGGAGUCGCGUCGAGCGGUGGUGGGCGUAGGCUUCUUCUUUUCUUCGUCACCAUCGCAUUAUUCCUGACCGUCACAUCAAGAACGAUGGGUCUUGCACGGUCGCCUUCCGUCGACGCCUUGACCAUCAUUUGCACCUCGUUUUCUUCCACUGCUUGCGCCCUCGCCACCAUCUGCACAUCGCCGUCUUCCUCUGCUGGAUCCACCAAAGUCCUUGUCUUCCAGUACACCACAACACGGUGGUCAUCGGGACUAUCAUGAGGAAUAACUACGGGCACUACCAUGAGGAGGAUGGACCAAACCACUUCUGCAAGGUGAUAUUUGCUCUGAAGCUGGAGGCUCUGUCUUUGCAUCUCGACUUCAUGAAGCACUUCCCCGCUAUGUUUAGUCCUAAGACGAACACCAGCUGCUCAUGGAGUGUCACGGUGAAGGUGGUCGACAACGGGGUCACCCUUGAUCAGGGUUGCUCCACCUUCACCAGUGUUCACCACGUCGGGAUCGGGUACAAGCUGACUUUCAAGCUGCUCACCCCUAACACCAUGAAGGUGAUGCAGCGUGGACGUGGUCACCAAGUGCAAGAAACAUGACGAGGCCUUCACCGUGACCGCGUAAAUGACCUCUUGUUCCUAGUUCCGUGUUGUGGGUUGUUCUUUUAAGAGUACUAUGUGUUACGAUGUCGUUUAGAACUUAUCAUACUAUGUUUAAAAUUUUUGUUUGGUUAAACUUUGAUUUGUGCUUAAGUUUGUUUCGGUUGCUUUAUUUUUUUGCAUCUGAUAACCUCACCACAUUGAGGAGGAGGUUAGCACACUAUUGUACUAGAUGUAACCAAACAAUUCAACAUGUGUUUGACCUCAAACCAAGCCACAACCAAACAACAUGCCUUCUGUUUCGACAUAUGCAGGCUACACGGAAUGCAUGCAACCAAUCAACAUGCAGAUGUUGAUUUUUUUGCAUGCAUAUGCUCGACCAGGCCCAACUGGGGCAAGUAUGCAAAUGGCAAAAAAACGAUGCACGUAACCAAACGCGCCCAAAGUGAUCUCUCAAUCACAUCUUGUUUAUUUCAGAUCAAAACUGUCUCUUUCCAUUAGAUGAAGUGCUAUAUAUAGCAUUGGAGCAAGCGUUUACAAGGGGGCGCCAUUUCAGACAGAACCGACGCAAUGGUUGCGUAAAGCAUGUGCCAAUGAUUAUAACAAGUAGGGGUUAAUCCCUUAAUUGCUAUAUUAAUUAAUCUUAGCACUCCCCCUAAUCCAUGCUUGUCCAGGUAGCAUCAUCAUCUCGAAAGAGUCUCCUUUAAAAACCCUAUGGAAAAAAUAUGAGGAGUAUAUUAUUUGAUAAGUUGCCAACACUCCUUCAAACCCAGUGGAAAAAAUAAGGAGAAAAUGAUGCAACAUGUCAUCAUUAUUGUCUCUUUUAACUCAAUAUGAGAAAAUUGUAGAAUUUUGAGGAAAAUAAAUAUGGCGUAUAUACUUUAUUAAAACCCGAGUGGGGAAAACACAAAAUAUGACAUCUGGUCUUGUGUUGAUAUUACCUCAUUAAAAACCUUUACGAGAACCUAUAUAGUAAACUCAUGAAGGGAAAAAGAGUAUAAUAUGAUGCAUUGAACAGGAACAAUUCAGGAAGAUACUCCCCCUGAUUCUUGCAAACUUCGAAGCCGUGACAUACCAAUUCCAUGAACAUAUUUCUGGAAUGUAAAAAUUGGUAGAGACUUCGUGAGAAAAUCAGUCACAUGAUGUAAUUUACAAGAUAUGCAAGCGAUAUUGCUUACGUAACCUGUUUGCAUCCGGGCAACACAAGAAAUAUUAUAUUUGAGAUAAUAGUUAGUGGAUGUAGCCAUUAAGGUCGGUUGCAAAAAAUGUUAUGCAAUGACUAUCACACCUAGUAGGAACACUAAGCUUGCCUAUGAUAUGACAUAGUAGGGAUCUGAUCAAUGUAUCCAAUGGUAUUGGUGUUCAGAUUUAUCUGAAACUGAAAAACCAGGACAAGAUGUUUGAUACCUUUGGAGAUAUCAAUAGAUAUUCUUGAGUCCCAACAAAUUGUGUUUGGUGGAUCCAAUGGCAUUAUGAAACGUUGAGUCCCAAUAUCUGAUUUUCAUCAUCUCUUGGUUUAAAUAGAUCAUUCUCUGCGUCUAGAGAAUGAAUUACCAUGAGAGUUAUGGAUGGAUAAGAUUUGUCCACAAUGAAUUUCUCCAAUAUAUUUUGGAUAUAGACAACAUAGUAUACCAUAACGUAUGAAUGAAGGUGCUCAAGUUAUAGUAACGAGCGGUAUUUUGGUUUACCCAAAUCCUUAAUUUUAAUCUCCGUCAUUUAGAUGAUUACAUGUGUCGUCAGUACAAAGACACAAACAUGGAUAAUCAUCAUUGUAGGAGUAAUCCUUGUGUAUAAGGAACUCAUUACAUUAGUUGUACCGACAACAAUAAGUAGUAUGGUGACUUACUGAAUUUUACACAAUGUAUGUUACAUUUUGUACUUCAAUAGAAUUGAGAUUACAUCGGAAAUAUAUCAUAUAUGUCUGAAUCUAGUGAGCCACAUGGAUAUGUGAUCACUACAUCUAUCAACCGCAUAGAUAAAUGAUCUUAUAUUCUCAAUGAUACAAGUUGUCGGAAAGAAGUUCCACCUCUAGAGAAUAGUUGGGUAUCUGCAUGAACCCUUAUGCUACAAUACUUGCUCUAUGUUUCACAACCUUGUUGUUCUCAAUUCUGUUUCCAGAAGAAAACUGGUGUAGGUAUUGCUUAUGAAUACCUUCCCUUUAUUGAGCAAGAUUAUUUCUACCUAGAUUAUACCAUUUUCUUGAGUUCAGUUUGAGUGUUGUUCACACUUUGCCAUGCCCAUAGUCUUGGAUCUGAAUCAUUUGAAAGGUUUUUGAAAUCUAGUUGAGAAAUGUAUAUCGACAAUUGUAGACUUCUGGUUAUAUGUUUCUCUAGAAUCUAUAUAUCAAUAUAUAGUUGAUGGAAAUAUCGUUACCCAUGGUGACUGCUCGCGAUUUCCCGGUGCGAAUGAGUCGUGUAUUCCGAUGUCCCAGUCAUUAUGUGCAGUAUGACCUGGGUUAGUGGAGGUUUCCCAUCCACUUGGUAUACUACUCAUACGUAUCCAACGUAUCUACAAUUUUUUGAUUCUUCCAUGCUGAUAUAUUAUCAUUCUAGAAUACUUUUGGGGUAUUUAUUUACCAAUUUAUAUUAUUUUUGAGCACUAACCUAUUGAUCCAGCGACUACUGCCAGUUGCUAUUUUAUGCGUGUUUUUCACUUUUCAGGUUUUCCAUAGCAAACGAAGUCCAAUUGCCCUGAAAAUUUUUGGUGAUUUUUUCUGGACCAAAAGAAGACCAACGAGCAUCGGAAGAAGGUUGGAGGCCUCACAAGGGGCCCACAAACCAACAGGGCGCGUCAUGGGGGCGCGCCCUGAUGGCUUGUGCCUCCCUCAUGGCCCUCCCGACUCCGUUGUUUGGCUUAUAAAUUCUCAUAUACCCUAAAAACAUCAGAGGGAGUUCCGAAACACUUUCUACACCAUCGCAAGUCUCUGUUCCGAUGGGAGGCCAUCUGGAGUUCCAUUCCGACACCCUGCUAGAGGGGGAUUGAUCAUAGAGGGCCUCUUCAUCAACCUUUCUACCCUCAUGAUGAUAUGUGAGUAGUUCACCACACACCUACGGGUCCAUAGCCAGUACCUAGAUGGCAAUCUCUCUUUGUCUCUCUUUUAUCUUCAUUACAAUGACCAUCGCAACUUCGCUUUGAUCCAUAUAUAUGAUGUAAUUCCUUUCGUGCGAUGCAUUUGUUGGGGUCUGAUGAAUUGUGGGUUUACGUUCAAAUUAUUCGUGAUAAAUAUUUGAGUCUCCUCUGAAUACUUGUAUGAUUCUAAUGUGAAUGAUUAUGAUAGGUUCAUAAUUCUCUCCGAUCUAUUGAAAUAGUUUGGCCAACUAGAUCGAUAUUUCUUCGGUGAGAGAGGUGCCUUGUGGUAGGUUCAACCUCGCGAAUUUCUAUAUCCCAGUGACAUAAGGGGACAAGAUGCAUCUUUGUAUUGCCGCUACGAAGGAUAAAACGAUGGGGAUUAUUCAUAUUGCUUGAGUUUACUUUGUCUACAACAUGUCAUUUUCUCCAUGCAUUACUCUGUUUUACUUAAUACUCUAGAUGCAUGCUGGAUAUCGGUCGAUGAGUGGAGUAAUAGUAAUAGUUGCAGGGAGGAGUCGGCCUAUUUUUUAUGGACGUGAUGCAUAUAUACACAUGAUCAUUGCCGUGAAUAUUGCAUAACUAUCCGCUUUUCUGUUAGUUGCCCAACAGUAAUUUGUGUACCCAUCGUAUGCUAUUUUUCAUGAGAGAUGCCAUUAGGGGAAAGCUAUAUCUCCCGGGUCUAUUCAUAACUUAUUGAUAAAACCUUCAUUACCUUGCUUCCAUUUCAUUGUUUUAUGUUAUCUUGCUAUCUACAAUUGUCUACACACCUCACUUGCUUGCAAAUAACAAGACAAGAGGAUUGACAACCGAGUUGCCCGCGUUGGGUGCAAGUUAUUUGUUCUUUUGUGUGCAGCCGCUGAAGACGGUUGUGGUUGAUAUUCCUAUUGGUUCGAUAAACCUUGGUUUCAUAACUUAGGGAAAUACUUACCCACAUUGUGUUGUGAUAACCCGUUCCUCUUCACGAAAAACCCAACGUAGAUCACAAGUAUCAUGAAGGAUUUAUGGCGUCAUUGUCGGGGAAUAUCAUCACCAACUACCAAGUAACUCCACACAAAAUUUCAUUCACUUGUUUCCAUCUUUUUUUUGCUGUUCUAUUUAAUUUGUCUCAUAAAAAAAUANAUACAAAAAUAUUUACAUUUUCUUGUUUUGCUUCUCACUAGAUUGCAUCUUCGCUCUCUAGUUUUCUUGAAAGUUGUUAUCAUGUCUCAGUUUGAAAUUAGUGAUGCCUCCGCCUCUAGUGUGGGAACCCUUGAUUUGCCAACUUUAACUUACGAUGAGAAUGCUAAAGUAAAUUUUGAUGAAGUUUCUAAUGAAAAACUUGAUAAUCUUGCGAAUCAUGAUCCUCCUAAGGUAGAACCUAUUAUGCAAACUAAGAAACUCCGCAUAGGUGGUGGUAAUAUUAUUGGAAAGUGUGUUAUUCAAGAUUUUUUUCACUUGUGCAGGAUCAUUCCCUUUUAUAGGAGGUUUUGUUGUUGCUAGAACUACAAGUUAUGUGAAUGUCAUAUAUUUUCUUAUAGUACAAUCGGAGAGACAAUUUGUGCAUAUGCAUCCUUUUAUACAAUGGUUGUUCCUAGAAUUCUCUAAUAUCCAUGAAGCUAGCACUAAACAUCUAGCUACUUGUCACAUCCCUGGAUCCCUAACUAGGGUUUAGUAUUUGUGCUCAUGUUUUCUUCCAUUGCAUUCAAGAAAUUGAAACAAACUCCAAGAAGUGCUGAAACUCAAACCAAAAACCCUAGCCACUUCUAAUUCAAGGAAAAUUCAAAUCUUGUCAAAAUCAAUGAACCCAAAAUGGCCUUCUUUAAAGUUCAAUAUUUCUGAUAAAUAUUGAAAACAAGUUAUCAGGGGAGAAAACUAUUUUUAAGACAUCCUUGGCAUUUUAAAUUUAAUUCAGAAAGCCCCUGAAUUCAAACUUAAAUUUGAAUUCAAAUAUUUACAAGUUUCAAAACUGUUGCAAACCUCACGAGUAGUUGGCAAUAUUCCAACUAUCACUCCGGGCUAUUCAAAAUAAUUUUUGAACUAAUUUUGGAGCCAAUAUAAAUGGCAAAUCAAAUCAGCAACAAAACAGAAAACAAAAAUAGAAAAAAAUGGGAAAAACUUACCUGUCGCUCACCUGAGGAAGCCCAGCCCACAGGGGCAGGUUCGUCUUCUUCCUUCUGCCUUCUGGCAGAGGAGUGAACGCCCACGGUGACUCCUCCACCUCCUGCUUGCCGUGGCGCGCUCCGGUGCCCCCAGGACAGCGCGAUGGCGGGAAUGAGACCCCCGCACGCGUCCUUAUCUUCUCCCGUUCCCCAUUCCGCCCCCUCCUCUCGGCUUUCUUCCUUUCUUCUUGUGCCGCCAUGGACAGAGCUCAAGCUCGAGCUGCCCGAGCCCUCUAGCCACAGGAUACUUCCUCCGAGUGCUCCAUUUUCUCCGCCUCGUCGAGCUAGCCAUGUACGCCGAAGCAUUCGACCUCCCCAAGCUCUGGUGCGCCACAUCGCCGUCGUCUUCAACCUCCGGCCGUCGGCAAGCUUCUGUUGAUUCGACGUCCACAGCACCUCCCCGAGCCGUCUGAGCUUCCCAUCGCCUCCACCGUGAGCUUGCGCGUGUUUCCCCUCUUCUUCCCCCCAUUUUCCUGCAUGCUAGCCACUAGACCGACGAGCCCGAGCUCCGGCUGCUGCCUCAGCUCGUCGCUGGUGACCUCCGGUCAAUCCCAGUCCUUCCUGAAACCCAUAAUGGAUGAGGUCGAGCCUCGGGAUCCUCCCAGUGCUCUCGGCACUCGAUCCUGAGCACCACAUGCACCACAGUAAGUAAAGGUUGUGUGUUGAACCUGAUUUGGUAAAGGUACCGGUGAAAGGCUAUGUAGGAGUACAUGGCGGGUUGUUUCAUUGGAACCGUCCUUAGGAACUGAGUUCCGUGUAUGUAAUCCAAGACUAUAUACUACAACACGUUGGGAUACUUAAUUGACACUCACGACUUAUUAAUCGCUUAGUACUCGGUCCAGGAGUUGCAAGUAGUUUCUGGUGUUUAUAGUCAUGCUGGAGGCCGUGCGUAGCGCUGACCUUAGAAGUGGGAUAUGAUGCGGUAGGCAGUGGCACGGUGUACCAAGGGGCACCCGGAUGGUGGGCUUGGGAACCCUGCGCACAUCGUUUGGGGCCGUGGCGGAAACCUCGGCCGGACUUCCGUGCGGGUUACCCUCAGAUAGGCGAUAGACCUGGACUAAGUAUUAGCGUGGUUAACGGUCGUGGCCGACUCUCUCACUGGGCUUCCGCUUGGAGGUUGCCGAGGUGCAUGUCGUGCACAUGGCGAUAAGUGGCGAGAGCAUGUGUGAAGAAGUACACCCCUGCAGGGUUAUGAUCUAUUCGAAUAGCCGCGUCCACGGAUAUGGACUACUUGGAAGCAUAUGUUGUUCAUAGAUAACUUUAAUGGCUACUCAUAAAAUUGUCAAGAUAAGUGUGAGUGUCGUGGACGGCAUUUCCGUAUGGAGACGGAAUGAUUCCACGAUGGAGUAUUGUUGUGGUGUUAGUGGACUCAUGUGCGAGAAAUCAAGUUGUCAAAAUUAUUUAAAAAUGCAAGUUGUCUAGCCACGAGUCAAAUGUUGGCUUUCCGCAUGAAACCCCACAAUUCCUUAUUGAUACAUUGCAUGAGUAGAUAGCUUAUCCUAAAGUCUUGCUGAGUACUUUUGUACUCAUGUUUGCUUAAUAAUUGUUGCAGAGGUUGUUAAUGACCCUAAUGGAGGGUUCUACCUAGACAUCGACGAUGACGAGUAGCUGGGAUCUGGCCCUAGGGUGGGUCUGUAGAUAGUCAGGCCAUGUGCCUUUAUCUUUCCCUCUGUCUGUACUCAGACAGCUUUAAAUCUUCCGCUGGCUAGUAAGAUUGUGUGUAUGACUUGUGAUGAUGGGUCGUGAGACCCCUACUUUGUAAUAUUAUGUGUGUGGAUCUUCCGAGCCUUCUAAAUAAAGUUUGUAUGUUUAUGGUUAUGUUGUGAUGCCAUCGAUGUAUCUAUACAUAUCGGUAGGCCAUGCGUACGUGUGUUGUACUUGAUAUGUAUGGGGUUCGAUUACCUAGUCGUAGGCUUUAGUAGCAUUCCUUACAGGGAAAUGCCCCUUUGUGAUCCAACGAGCCAUGGUAGUUCGCUACUGCUCCGGACACAUUGGUUGACCAGCAUGUGUCCUUCUUAGCUAUUGUGUCUGUCCCCGUUGGGGAAAUUUUACCCGAUGUAAUGGAGUCCUUGUAGCUUGCUUCGACUUGUCUACAUUCGCUGGUGACCGACACCUGCUUUGCUGGGUCAUGUAUGCAUGUCCCUGUGUGGAACUGCCGCUUUGGUUUAUGACUAGACAUGUCGAUCCGGGUUCUUUGUCAUUGGAUUGCUAGCGACACAAUUGCAUACGCGAGUCAAAAGUCGCAAACGGUCCCGGCUAAGGUAAGGCUGCAACCGUGGGGAUAACCGUGUGUGAGACCGCAAAGAGAUGCGAUGUGUUACAGUCUGGAUUCCUAUGGCUUAGGAUCGGGGUCCCGACACUACUAUAUUCCUUUUCUAAAGAAUUUAGUAAUAUCAUACAAGAAGCUAGAGAUAUAUUUUCUCAUUUUAGGUUUGAUGGUGAUUUCCCACCCAUAGAGGGGAUUCUUUAUGAAUUGGAAGAAAUAAGAAAACUAAGAUCCAUAGACUAUCUUGCUUAUGAUGAGAACCUUAGAAAGAAGGUACCGCUUAAUGUCUUAGUUGAUAAUAUUUCUAAACACAAUGAUUAAUUUGCUAUAUCAAAACUUGGAUUGGAUUAUGAUCUUCAAACAAAAUUAAGGAAAUACCUCCAUAGGAAUUUAUACAAUGAGGAACUAACUAUCACUUAUGAAAAACCCAAGGGAGAGCCUCAUGUCCCCCCCCCCCAAAGUAGACCUUUCGGAUCCUAAUGUUGUGCUAUUUAACCCCUUCAAUUAUUUUUGCUAACCUAUCAUAAAUCUUGCUGCUCAAUAAAGGGAAUAUGAUUAUAGAAUGAUGGGUCAUUCUUAAAAAUAUGACAACACUUGAAACUAUGCAAUAUACCUAGCUAGGGGCAUAAAACAAUAGCGCUUGUUGGGAGGCAACCCAAUAGUUAUCUCUAUUUUUUCUUUUAAAUUUUUAUCAGUUUGCGAUAACAUGAUUAUUUCCUAUGUAAUUAUUAUGUUUCUAUGUUUAAUUACUGUUUGUACCAAGUAAAUCCUUUGGGAUGAUUUGCAUGAUGAGUAGAAUUAAUACGGUGCAAAAACAGAAACUUUGACGUCCACUACAGAAUAUCUCUGAUUUUACUAGAACGUAUUUUCAAGCUGAAAUUUUUACACGCUAUGAAUACGCAAAUUCGUUAGGUCGUCCUAAACUUUCAGAACUUUUGGAGUUACUUUAGUAUAGGUUCAUUACAAAUUACCACAGAUUGUUCUGUUUGAGUCACAUUCUGUUUUUGCAUGCGAAGUUUGCUUGUUUUGAUGAUGCUAUGAAUUGUAUCAGGGUAUAAGCCAUGGAAGAGUUAGGACACAGUACCCUAUGCUAAAAUAAAAUAAUAAUCAACUUGUAAGAGAACCUGAAAGUAUUUGAUAUGUUGCUGAUACUAACGGAUCUCACAAAGUUUUGUUGAGUUUUAUGUGAUUGAAGUUUUCAAGUUUUGGGUAUUGUCCUAAUGGACAAAGGAUUGAGGAUCAGCAAAAGCCUAAGCUUGGAAAUUCCCAAGGAACCCCAAUGUAAUAUUCCAGGAAGGCUCAAGCGUCUAAGCUUGGGGAUACCCCGAAAGACAUCCCCUCUUUUCGUCUCAAUCCAUCGGUAUGUUACUUUGGGCUAUAUUUUUACUCAUCACAUGAUAUAUUUUUACUCAUCACAUAAAAUCAUUGUUUGCUGGACACACCUAUCUUAGAGAUAGACCACGUCAUCACAAUUUGUUAGAAUACUCUAUGUGCUUCACUUAUAUCUUUUGAGCUUAGCAGUUGCUCUAGUACUUCACUUAUAUCUUCUCGAGCACGGUGGCAUGUAGAUUUUAUUGAAAUAUUAUGAUCUCGUUCUUCACUUAUAUUUGUUUGAGAGAUGAACAAAUAGUGACAGUAAUUUUCAUGGGUCAUAAGACUAGAUAAAAAAUAAUGAGUAUUCAAUGAGUGAUAAUUAAAACCAUCAUGUAGCACAUAUAGAGAAAUUAUGGGUUAAUGAUAUUGAUGUGGUGAUAUGGAAAAGGUAAGAGUGCAUUAUUAUUAAUUCAGAAAGGUGUAGAUAUUAAUAGAUGUUAAACUUUGUGCUCAUCUAAAAUAUUAAAAGGGCAUGGUGAUGAUGUGUGAACAUUUCUAUUCCUCGCUGAAAUCCUAGCGUUGUUUUUAGUCGAAGACGCACGAUGGUUAAUUCCUACCAACCCUCUCCCUCAGGGCAUGCGAGUAGUACUUUGACUUGUGAUAAAACUAAUAAAACUUUCCAACAAGUAUAUGAGUUCUUCUUGACUAAUGUGACACCAUGGACAUAUGCAAUCUCACCUCCUCUUAAUUGCUAGCCUCUUCGGUAUCGUGCAUCGCCCGUUCUCACCUUGAGGGUCGGUGCGACUUUCGCCAGUGUAUCCCAACCCCGUGACAUGACACGCACUGUUGCACAUAAACCUUUUUAUAUACUCCUCAAAACAGCCACCAUAACUACCUAUCAUGGCAUUUUCGUAUACAUUCCGAGAUAUAUUGUUAUGCAAAUGUCACCGUCACUUCACAUGACUAGUUCGUUCAUAAUCAUAAUGCUUUGCAUGAUCAUAUAGAGAUGACAUAGUAACCAGUAGCAACAAAGUGACAACAGUAGAAGCAAAGUAACAGCAGUAGCGGCAAAGUAACAGUAGCAGCAGUGACAGCAGUAGCGGCAAAGUAACGUAGCAAGGACCAGUAGGAAAAAAACUCGUAGGCAUUAGAUCGGUGAUGGAUGAUUAUGUCGGAUGUUAGUCAUCAUGCAACAGCUAUAACACGGAGAGAUAUGUAACUAGCUCCAGUUCAUCAGUGUAAUGUAGGCAUGUAUUCCGUAUGUAGUCAUACGUGCUUAGGGAAAAGAACUUGCAUGACAUCUAUUGUCCAUCCCUCCCGUGGCAGAGGGGUCCUAAUGGAAACUACGGGAUAUUAAGGUUCUCCUUUUAAUAAAGAACCGGACCAACGCAUUAACACUUGGUGAAUACAUGAACUCCUCAUACUAUGGUCAUCUCCGGGAGUGGUUCUGGCUGUUGUCACUCCGGGGUUGCCGGGUCAUAACACAUAGUAGGUGACUACAACUUGCAAGAUAGGAUCAAGAACACACAUAUAUUGGCGACAACAUAAUAGGUUCAGAUCUGAAAUCAUGGCACUCGGGCCCUAGUGACAAGCAUUAAGCAUGGCAAAGUAGUAGCAACAUCAAUCUUAGAACAUAGUGGAAACUAGGGAUCAAUCCCCGUCAAAACUAACUCGAUUACAUGAUAGAUCUCAUCCAACCCAUCACCGUCGAGCAAGCCUACGACGAGAUUACUCACGAACGGUGAAGAGCAUCAUGGAAUUGGCGAUGAAGGAAGGUUGGUGAUGACGCUGGCGACGAUUUCCCCUCUCCGGAGCCCAGAACGGCCUCCAGAUCUGCCCUCCAGAGGAAGAACUGGAGGUGGCGGCGCCUCCGUAUUGUAAAACGCAAUGAACUCUUCUCCUUGAUUUUUUCGGACGAAAAGGACUAAAUAGACCUGAGAUUGGAAGCGAUGGAGCAAUGGGCCCCACAAGCCUGCCAGACGUGGCCAGGGGGGCCCACGCCUGGUGGGCUUGUGGGCUCCAUGAUCCACUUUCUCCGUUGAUUCUUGCGCCAGUAUUUUUCAUAUAUUCCACAAAAAUUCUUCGUAAAUUUUCAGGUCAUUCCGAGAACUUUUAUUUCUGCGCAAAAACAACACCAUAGAAAUUCUGCUGAAAACAGCGUUAGUCCGGGUUAGUUCCAUUCAAAUCAUGCAAAUUAGAGUCCAAAACAAGGGCAAAAGAGUUUGGAAAAGUAGAUACAACAGAGACGUAUCAACUCCCCCAAACUUAAAACCUUGCUUGUCCUCAAGCAAUUCAGUUGUCAAACUGAAAGAGACAAAAGGAAAACUUUUACGAACUCUGUUUGAUCUUGUUGUUGCAACUAUGUCUAACUCAUAUCCAGAAUUUCAGCAAGAUCACAAGCUAACCACAUAAGCAAAUGACAUCUAGGUCUCACGGUAAACUCAUAUCAAUGGCAUAAUCAACUAGCGAGCAAAUAAUAAUAAGUCUCAAACGUCAACACUUCAAUCAAAACAAUCAUGAAGCAGUACGAAUAGAUGGUAUCUCUCUAGCUCUUUCUGAGACCACAAAACAUAAAUGUAGAGCACCUUCAAAGACCAAGGGCUGACUAAACAUUGUAUUUCAUGGCAAAAAAGAUCCAGUCACAGUCAUACUCAAUCACAGUUAAAAGCAAAGCAUAAAAAUGACAGAGGUGCUCUCUAAUUGGUGCGUUUAUAAGAAGAGGAUGACUCAACAGGAACAUAAAUAGAUNNNNNNNNNNNNNNNNNNNNNNNNNNNNNNNNNNNNNNNNNNNNNNNNNNNNNNNNNNNNNNNNNNNNNNNNNNNNNNNNNNNNNNNNNNNNNNNNNNNNUAGUGGUAUAUAUAGUUUAGUUGGUAGGUUAGUUAAUUAGUAGAUUUAGUGGUAGUUUAGUUAGUUGGUAGAUUAUGUUUAGUUAGUUGGUAGUUUAGUUAGUUGGUACAUUUAGUUAGUUAAUUAGUAGAUUUAGUAGGUAGUUUAGUGGUAGAUUGUGUUUUGUUAAUUAGUGGUAGCUAGAUUGUCUUUUAGCUACUUAGUGGUAGAUUCUGUUUUUGUUAUUUUGUUGUUGUUUAGUGCUAUAUAGGUUUAGCGAUAGGUUUAGUGCUAGUUUACGUAGAUAAGGGAAGAAUAAUAAGNNNNNNNNNNNNNNNNNNNNNNNNNNNNNNNNNNNNNNNNNNNNNNNNNNNNNNNNNNNNNNNNNNNNNNNNNNNNNNNNNNNNNNNNNNNNNNNNNNNNNNNNNNNNNNNNNNNNNNNNNNNNNNNNNNNNNNNNNNNNNNNNNNNNNNNNNNNNNNNNNNNNNNNNNNNNNNNNNNNNNNNNNNNNNNNNNNNNNNNNNNNNNNNNNNNNNNNNNNNNNNNNNNNNNNNNNNNNNNNNNNNNNNNNNNNNNNNNNNNNNNNNNNNNNGAAGAUGAAGAAGAAGAAAAUGAAAUCCCGACACCACGACACCUGACACGAUGCCCCGAAUCCUCGACACGACGCCCCGACACGACAUCUCGACGACUCCCCGACACGAAAUAUUUUUUAUGGAUCCUAGAUGACAUCUAUAUAGGUCAUAUAUUUGUGUUAGGUCAUAUAUUUUUCGAUUUUAUUAAUGAACACAAAAUAUUUGUGUUCAACGGGUGGAUUUACAUGUCACAGUUGUCUCGCUGCUGUCAGGUCUGCUGUCCGAAGACCUCCCCGUGCGUUCUACGAGCUCCGCCCCUGCAUUUGUGGGUGAGUACAAAUGUCAUAUCCUCCUCGCCCCUUCAUUUUUGGUGGGUCGGUCUUCAGAUGAAACUUGCUAGAUAUAGGUAAUUAAAUUAAUUUAUCAGUAUGCGUGACCAGUAUGUGUUUGCCAUUCGAAAGGGUUACAGUUAUAAAUAUGCAUGUAUUUGCAUAUAUUUAUAACCGCGAUUCUUCCGAAUUGUCCAACGUUAUACAUGGACAACCCGAGUAUGUGUAGAUUGGGUUCAUUUUCCCAUAUGCUUUGUUCCGGAUCCGAUGCAUAAUUUCGUCAGUGCCUCCCUCUUGUUCUCCGGAUACACAUCCUCUCUGUUUAUUAUGGAGACGUGUAUCAGGAGAACAACGGGGAGAUCCUACCGAAAUUUUGCGUUGGAUCCGGAGUAGGGCAUGGGAAAAUGGACCCAAUCUACACAUACUCGGGUGGGAUUAGGACCUAUCUUUACCUAUUAGCGCGUAGGUUGCAUUGACGUAAUAAAACUGGCGAACUUGAUUAACUGAUGAAUAUAUAUGCUGAAUUAUAUAUAAAUAUAUUUCUUGUGUGUUUAGUAACUAGGCAAGAUGAGUGUGUUGGAAAUAUGCCCUAGAGGCGAUAAUAAAAUGGUUAUUAUCAUAUUUCCUUGUUCAUGAUAAUCGUCUAUUGUUCAUGCUAUAAUUGUAUUAACAGGAAACAGUAAUACAAGUGUGAAUAAAUAGAUCACAAUGUGUCCCUAGCAAGCCUCUAGUUAGCUAGCUCGUUAGUCAAUAGAUGAUCAUGGUUUCCUGAUCAUGGGCAUUAGAUGUCAUUGAUGACGGGAUCACAUCAUUGGAGAAUGAUGUGAUGGACAAGACCCAAUCCUAAGCAUAGCACUAGAUCAUAUUGUUGGUAUGCUAAAGCUUUUCUAAUGUCAAGUGUAUUUUAUUUCAACCGUGAGAUUGUGCAACUCCCGGAUACCGUAGGAGUGCUUUGGGUGUAUCAAACGUCACAACAUAACUGGGUGACUAUAAAGGUGCACUACGGGUACCUCCGAAAGUGUCUGUUGGGUUGGUACGAAUCGAGAUCGGGAUUUGUCACUCCGUGUGACGGAGAGGUAUGUCUGGGCCCACUCGGUAGAACAUCAUCAUGAGCUCAAUGUGACUAAGGAGUUAGUCACAUGAUGACGUGCUACGGAACGAGUAAAGAGACUUACCGGUAAUGAGAUUGAACAAGGUAUAGGUAUACCGGCGAUCGAAUCUCGGGCAAGUUCUAUACCGACAAACAAAGGGAAUCGUAUACGGGAUUGAUUGAAUCCUUGACAUCGUGGUUCAUCCGAUGAGAUCAUCGUGGAGCAAGUGGGAGCCACCAUGGAUAUCCAGACCCCACUGAUGGUUAUUUGUCGGAGAGGCGUCUCGGUCAUGUCUGCCUGUCUCCCGAACCCGUAGGGUCUACACACUUAAGGUUCGAUGACACUAGGGUUAUAGGGAAUUUUUAUACGAGGUUACUGAAAGUUGUUCGGAGUCUCGGAUGAGAUCCCGGACGUCACAAGGAGCUCCUAAAUGGUCCGAAGGUAAAGAUUGAUAUAUAGGACGGAUGGUUUGGGACACCGGAAGUGUUUCGGGCAUCACCGGUAACGUACCGGGACCACCGGGACCAUCGGAGGUGGCCCCGGGGAUCCACCGAAGGGUGGCAACGACCCCGGGAGGUAAGAUGGGCCAAGUGGGGAAGGGAACCAGCCCCUAGGUGGGCUGGUGCACCUCCCCACUCAGCCCAAUGCACAGGCGAGAGGGAAGGGGGGGGCAAACCCUAAGCCAGGUGGGCCUAAGGCCCACCAGGUGGUGCGCCACCCCCUCCCACCCUAGCCGCCGCACCUGUUUCCCAUCUGGUGGCUGCCACACCACCUAGGGGGGAACCCUAGGGGUGGCGCACCCCCCUCCCCCUCCUCCUAUAAAUAGAGAGGGGUUUUGGCCCUUGGGAGAUAGACUUUUCCCUCUCUCUCGGCGCAGCCCUACCCUUCUUCCUCCUCCUCUCUGUCGGUGCUUGGCGAAGCCCUACCAGGAGACCUCGUCUCUCCAUCGACACCAUGCCGUCGUGCUGCUAGAGUUCUUCCCCCAACCUCUCCCUCCUCCUUGCUGGAUCAAGGUGCGGGAGACGUCACCGGGCUGCACGUGUGUUGAACGCGGAGGUGUCGUAGUUCGGCACUAGAUCGGAAUCGCUGCGAGUACGACUCCAUCAACCGCGUUCUAGCAACGCUUCCGCUUAGCGAUCUUCAAAGGUAUGAAGAUGCUCUUACCCCUCUCUCGUUGCUGGUCUCUCCAUAGGAAGAUCUGAAUAUGUACGUAACCCAACAGUGGCAUCUGAGCCAGGUUUUCUAUGCGUAGAUUCUAUGCACGAGUAGAACACAAAAGUUGUGGGCGAUGAUUUGUCAAUUUGCUUGCCGCUACUAGUCUUAUUAUUUUCCGGCGGUAUUGUGGGAUAAAGCGGCCCGGACCGACUUUAGACGUACGCUUACGUGAGACUGGUUCCACCGACAGACAUGCACACCGUGCAUAAAGGUGGCUAGCGGGUGUCUGUCUCUCCUACUCUAGUCGGAUUGGAUUUGAUGAAAAGGGUCCUUAUGAAGGGUAAAUAGCUUUGGCGUAUCAUCAUUGUGGCUGUCACGUAGGUAAGAAGGCGUUCUUGCUAGAAACCCAAAUCAGCCACGUAAAACUUGCGACAACAAUUAGAGGACGUCUAACUUGUUUUUGCAGGGUUUGACAUGUGAUGUGAUAUGGCCAAAGUUGUGAUGUUGCAUGUAUGAUGUAUCAGAUGAUCAUGUUAUUGUAAUAGGUUUCACGACUUGCAUGUUGAUGAGUAUGAAAAUCGGCAGGAGCCAUAGGAGUUGUCUUAAUUUAUUGUAUGAGAUGCAACGCCAUGUGCUUACUACUUUUACUUCAUUGCUAAUGGUUAGCUAUAGUAGUAGUGAUAGUAGUAGUUGGCGUGACGACUUCAUGGAGACAUGAUGAUGGAGAUCAUGGUGUCACGCUGGUGACGAUGAUGAUCAUGCGAUGCCUGAAGAUGAGAUCGAAAGGGCGAAGAUGAUAAUGGCCAUAUCAUGUCACUAUAUGAUUGCAAUGUGAUGUUUAUCAUGUUCUACAUCUUAUUGCUUAGAACGACGGUAGCAUAAUAAGAUGAUCCCUCUUAAAAUUUCGAGAACGUAUUACCUUAAGUGUGCAUAGUUGCGAAGGUUCAUUGUCUCGAAGCACCACGUGAUGAUCGGGCGUGAUAGAUUCUAACGUUCGCAUACAACAGGUGUAAGCCAGAUUUACACACGCGAAACACCUAGGUUGACUCGACGAGCUUAGCAUGUACAGACAUGACCUCGAAUACAAGAGACCGAAAGGUCGAACAUGAGUCGUAUGGUUGAAUACGAUCAUCAUUAAGUUGCUCACCAUGGUGACUAGUCCGUCUCACGUGAUGAUCGGACACGGGUUAGUCAACAUGGAUCAUGUAUCACUUAGAUACCUAGAGGGAUAUCGAUUUAAGUGGGAGUUCAUACUUAAUUUGAUUAAAUGAACUUAAUUGUCAUGAACUUAGUCUAAAAGUUGUCUUUAUAAAUAUUGUAGAUGGCCAACGUCAACCUCAAUUUCAACGCAUUCCUAGAGAAAAACAAGCUGAAAGAUGAUGGUAGCAACUAUGCGGACUGGGUUCGCAACUUGAAGCUCAUCCUUGAAGCAGCUAAAAAGGCUUGUGUCCUUGAUGCGCCGCUAGGUGACCCUCCCGCUCCCGCAGCAGCCGAGGACAUUCUGAACGUCUGGCAAGCGCGGAGUGAUGACUACUCUCUCGUUAGGUGUGGCAUGUUAUAUAGUUUAGAAACGGGGCUCCAAAGGCGUUUUGAGCAACACGAAGCAUAUGAGAUCUUCCAAGAGCUAAAGCUAGUUUUUCAAGCUCAUGCCCGUGUCGAGAGAUAUGAAGUCUCCGACAAGUUCUUUAGAUGUAAGAUGGAGGAGAACAGUUAUGUCAGUGUGCACAUACUCAAAAUGUCUGGGUUACACGAUCGUCUGACUUCACUUGAAGUCGAACUUCCGGAUGAUGCUAUAAUUGACAGAAUCCUCUAGUCUCUCCCACCAAGCUACAAAGGCUUUGUGCUUAACUACAACAUGCAAGGGAUGGAGAAGACCAUUCCCGAGUUGUACUCGAUGCUCAAGUAUGCAGAAGUAGAAAUCAAGAAAGAGCAUCAAGUGUUGAUGGUCAACAAGACCACUAGUUUCAAGAAAGGCAAGGGUAAGAAGAACUUCAAGAAAGACGGCAAAGCUGUUGCCGCGCCCGGUAAGCCAGAUGCCGGGAAGAGGAAAAAGAAUGGACCCAAGCCUGAGACUGAGUGCUUCUAUUGCAAGGGAAAGGGUCACUGGAAGCGGAACUGCCCCAAAUACUUAGCGGACAAGAAGGCCGGCAACGUUAAAGGUAUAUGUGAUAACAUGUUAUUGAUGUGUACCUUACCAGCGCUCGUAGUAGCUCCUGGGUAUUUGAUACCGGUGAUGUUGCUCACAUUUGCAACUCAAAGCAGGAACUGCGGAAUAAGCGGAGACUGGCCAAGGACGAGGUGACGAUGCGCGUCGGAAAUGGUUCAAAGGUCGAUGUGAUCGCCGUCGGCACGCUACCUCUAGAUCUACCGUCGGCAUUAGUCUUAAACCUUAAUAAUUGUUAUUUAGUACCAGCUUUAAGCAUGGACAUUGUAUCAGGGUCUUGCUUAAUGCGAGACGGCUAAUCAUUUAAGUCAGAGAAUAUUGGUUGUUCUAUUUAUAUGAGUGAUAUGUUUUAUGAUCAUGCUCCGCUGGUGAAUGGUUUAUUCUUGAUGAAUCUCGAUCGUGAUGUUACACAUAUUCAUAGUGUGAGUACCAAAAGAUGUAAAGUUGAUAAUGAUAGUCCCACAUACUUGUGGCACUGCCGCCUUGGUCAUAUCGGCGUUAAGCGCAUGAAGAAGCUCCAUACUGAUGGACUAUUAGAGUCUCUUGACUUUGAAUCAUUUGACACAUGCGAACCGUGCCUCAUGGGCAAGAUGACUAAGACUCCAUUCUCAGGAAUAAUGGAGAGAGCAACCGACUUAUUGGAAAUAAUACAUACUGAUGUGUGUGGUCCAAUGAACGUUGAAGCUCGCGGUGGCUGUCGUUAUGUUCUCACUCUCACCGAUGAUUUGAGUAGGUAUGGGUAUAUCUACUUGAUGAAGCACAAAUCUGAGACAUUUGAAAAUUUCAAGGAAUUUCAGAGUGAGGUCGAGAAUCAACGUGACAGAAAAAUCAAGUGUCUACGAUCUGAUCGUGAAGGAGAAUAUUUGAGUCACGAGUUUGGCACACACCUAAGGAAGUGUGGAAUCGUUUCACAACUAACGCCGCCUGGCACACCGCAACGCAACGGAGUGUGUGAACAUCGUAAUCGCACUUUAUUAGAUAUGGUACGAUCUAUGAUGUCUCUUACCGACUUACCACUAUCAUUUUGGGGAUAUGCAUUAGAAACUGCAGCAUUCACUUUAAAUAGGGUACCGUCUAAAUCCGUUGAGACGACACCGUAUGAACUAUGGUUUGGCAAGAAACCUAAGUUAUCGUUUCUUAAAGUUUGGGGCUGCGAUGCUUAUAUGAAGAAACUUCAACCAGAAAAGCUCGAACCCAAAGCGGAUAAAUGCGUAUUCAUAGGAUACCCUAAAGGAACUAUUGGGUAUACCUUCUAUCUUAGAUCCGAAGGUAAAACCUUUGUUGCCAAGAACGGAUCCUUUCUAGAGAAAGAGUUUUCUCGAAAGAAGUAAGUGGGAGGAAGGUAGAACUUGAUGAGGUAAUUACACCCCCUCUCGAACAGGAUAGUAGCGCAGCGCGGGAAGUUGUUCCUGUGGCGCCUACACCAACUGAGGAGGAAGUUAAUGAUGAUGAUCAUGAAGCUUCGAAUCAAGUUACUACUGAACCGCGAAGGUCCACAAGGGCACGCUCUGCACCAGAGUGGUACGACAACCCUGUGGUGGAGAUCAUGUUGUUAGACAACCGUGAACCUUCGAACAAUGAAGAAGCGAUGGCGGCCCGGAUUCCAACAAAUGGCUUGAGGCUAUGAAAUCCGAGAUAGGAUCCAUGUAUGAGAACAAAGUAUGGACUUUGGUGGACUUGCCUGAUGACCGGCGAGCCAUAGAAAAUAAAUGGAUCUUCAAGAAGAAGACUGAUGCAAACGGUAAUGUAACCGUUUACAAAGCUCGACUUGUCGCAAAGGUUUUUCGAGAAAUUCAAGGAGUUAACUACGAAGAGACUUUCUCUCCCGUAGCGAAGCUGAAAUCAGUCUAAAUCAUGUUAGCAAUUGCCGCCUUUUAUGAUUAUGAAAUUUGGCAAAUGGACGUCAAAACAGCGUUCCUUAACGGGAACCUUAAGGAAGAGUUGUAUAUGAUGCAACCAGAAGGUUUUGUCGACCCUAAGGGUGCUAACAAAGUGUGCAAGCUCCAGUGCUCCAUCUAUGGGCUGGUGCAAGCAUCUCCGAGUUGGAACAUUCGCUUUAAUGAGGUGAUUAAAGCGUUUGGGUUCAUACAGGUUUACGGAGAAACCUGUCUGUAUGAGAAAGUGAGUGGGAGCUCUGUAGCUUUCCUCAUACUGUAUGUGGAUGACAUAUUAUUGAUGGGGAAUAAUAUAGAGAUGUUGGAGAGCAUAAAGGCCUAUUUGAACAAGAGUUUUUCAAUGAAGGACCUUGGAGAAGCUGCAUACAUAUUAGGCAUCAAGAUCUAUAGAGAUCGAUCGAGACGCCUCAUAGGUCUUUCGCAAAGCACAUACCUUGACAAGAUAUUGAAGAAGUUCAAUAUGGAUAACUCAAAGAAAGGGUUCUUGCCAGUUUUGCAAGGUAUGAGAUUGAGUAAGACUCAGUCGCUGACCACGGCAGCAGAAAGAGAGAAGAUGAGUUAUGUCCCCUACGCUUCAGCCGUGGGCUCUCUAAUGUAUGCCAUGCUGUGUACCAGACCUGAUAUAAACCUUGCCAUAAGUUUGGUAGGGAGGUACCAAAGUGAUUCCGGUAUGGAACACUGGACAGCGGUCAAGAAUAUCCUUAAGUACCUGAAAAGGACUAAGGAAAUGUUUCUCGUUUAUGGAGGUGACGAAGAGCUCGUCGUAAAGGGUUACGUCGACGCUAGCUUCGACACAGAUCCGGGUGACUCUAAGUCACAGACCGGAUACGUAUAUGUGUUGAAUGGUGGGGUAGUGAGCUAGUGCAGCAGCAAGCAAGAAGUCGUGGCAGCAUCUACAUGUGAAGCGGAGUACAUAGCUGCUUCAGAAGCAACUCAUGAAGGAAUUUGGAUGAAGGAGCUCAUCACCGACCUUGGAGUGGUUCCAAGCGCGUCGGGUCCAAUGACACUCUUCUGUGAUAACACUGGGGCCAUUGCCAUAGCCAAGGAGCCCAGGUUUCACUGGAAGACGAAGCACAUCAAAUGCCGCUACAACUCCAUCCAGGACCAUGACCAGAGUGGAGUGAUAGAUAUUUGUAAAGUACACACGGAUCUGAAUGUUGCAGACCCGUUGACUAAACCUCUUCCACGAGCAAAACAUGAUCAACACCAUAAUGCUAUGGGUGUUCAAUACAUCACAAUGUAACUAGAUUAUUGACUCUAGUGCAAGUGGGAGACUGUUGGAAAUAUGCCCUAGAGGCAAUAAUAAAAUGGUUAUUAUCAUAUUUCCUUGUUCAUGAUAAUCGUCUAUUGUUCAUGCUAUAAUUGUAUUAAGAGGAAAGAGUAAUACACGUGUGAAUAAAUCGAUCACAAUGUGUCCGUAGCAAGCCUCUAGUUAGCUAGCUCGUUAGUCAAUAGAUUAUCAUGGUUUCCUGAUCAUGGGCAUUAGAUGUCAUUGAUGACGGGAUCACAUCAUUGGAGAAUGAUGUGAUGGACAAGACCCAAUCCUAAGCAUAGCACUAGAUCGUAUUGUUCAUAUGCUAAAGCUUUUCUAAUGUCAAGUGUCUUUUCCUUCGACCGUGAGAUUGUGCAACUCCCGGAUACCGUAGGAGUGCUUUGGGUGUAUCAAACGUCACAACGUAACUGGGUGACUAUAAAGGUGCACUACGGGUACCUCUGAAAGUGUCUUUUGGGUUGGUACGAAUCGAGAUCGGGAUUUGUCACUCCGUGUGACAGAGAGGUAUCUCUGGGCCCACUCAGUAGAACAUCAUCAUGAGCUCAAUGUGACUAAGGAGUUAGUCACACGAUGACGUGCUACGGAACGAGUAAAGAGACUUACCGGUCACGAGAUUGAACAAGGUAUAGGUAUACCGACGAUCGAAUCUCGAGCAAGUUCUAUACCGACAGACAAAGGGAAUCGUAUACGGGAUUGAUUGAAUCCUUGACAUCAUGGUUCAUCCGAUGUGAUCACUGUGGAGCAAGUGGGAGACACCAUGGGUAUCUAGACCCCGCUGAUGGUUAUUGGCCGGAGAGGCGUCUCGGUCAUGUCUGCUUUUCUCCCGAACCCGUAGGGUCUACACACUUAAGGUCCGAUGACGCUAGGGUUAUAGGGAAUUGUUAUACGAGGUUACCGAAAGUUGUUCGGAGUCCCAGAUGAGAUCCCGGACAUCACGAGGAGCUCCGUAAUGGUCCGGAGGUAAAGAUUGAUAUAUAGGACGGAUGGUUUCGGACACCGGAAGUCUUUCGGGCAUCAUCGGUAACGUACCGGGACCACCGGGACCACCGAAGGGGGCAACGACCCCGGGAGGUAAGAUGGGCCGAGUGGGGAAGGGAACCACCCCUAGGUGGGCUGGUGCGCCUCGCCACUCUGCCCAAUGCGCAGGGGAGAGAGAAGGGGGGGGCAAACCCUAAGCCAGGUGGGCCUAAGGCCCACCAGGUGGUGCGCCACCCCCUCCCACCCUAGCCGCCACCCCCCUUUCCCAUCUGGUGGCUGCCGCACCACCUAGGGGGUAACCCUAGGGGUGGUGCACUCCCUCCACCUCCUCCUAUAAAUAGAGAGGGGUUUUGGCCCUUGGGAGAUAGACUUUUCCCUCUCUCUCAGCGCAGCCCUGCCCUUCUUCCUCCUCCUCUUUGUCGGUGCUUGGCGAAGCCCUGCCGGGAGACCUCGUCUCUCCAUCGACACCAUGCCGUCGUGCUGCUGGAGUUCUUCCCCAGCCUCUCCCUCCUGCUUGCUGGAUCAAGGUGCGGGAGACGUCACCGGGCUGCACGUGUGUUGAACGCGGAGGUGCCGUAGUUUGGCACUAGAUCGGAAUCGCUGCGAGUACGACUCCAUCAACCGCAUUCUAGCAACGCUUACACUUAGCGAUCUUCAAAGGUAUGAAGAUGCUCUUACCCCUCUCUCGUUGCUGGUCUCUCCAUAGGAAGAUCUGAAUAUGCGUAGGAAAAUUUUGAAUUUAUGCUACGUAACCCAACAGAGUGAUCGUGCGUGGAUGUACACGGGUCACCCUAGUCAGAAAGAGAUGAUGAAAGAAUGGUUUCUAAAAACCAAGGAGUUUGUGAAAGCCGCAUUUGCAAAUGUGCAGGAAACAAACUGGUGCCCUUGUCCUGAAUGCGACAACUAUAACAAAAGGACAGAUGCUGUAAUGAUUAAACACCUGCAGAGGAGGGGUUUUAAGCCUAAUUAUACGGUUUGGACAUUUCUUGGUGACUCUAUACAACGCACUAGAGCUGAGGUGGUUCAUCGUCGCACCGACGAGCAUGGUACCGGGAUCGAAGACAUGGUGCAAGACUUUGAUGAUGCUCGGGAUUCGGCAGAUGAGAUGGAGGAAUCUGCAAAGGCCUUCUAUGAAAUGUUGGAGUCUUCAAAACGUCCUCUCCAUGAGCACACUGAGCUUUGUCAGUUGGAUGCCAUUGCACAAGUAAUGGCUCUGAAGGCUCAGUUCAACUUGGGAAGAGAAUCCUAUGACGCGAUGAUGACACUAUUUGGACGCUUUCUACCCAAAGGCCAUGUCAUGCCUGCAAAACUAUACCAGUCAGACAAAAUACUUCGUGUACUUAAGAUGCCCUAUGAGAAGAUACAUGCAUGUGAGAAAGGAUGUGUCUUAUUUAGGAAGGAGUAUGCACACUUGGACUAUUGUCCCAAUUGGAAGUCUUGCAGGUAUCUUGUGGCAGACAACGGUAUGGGUGAGAAGAGGCUGACCAAAGUUGCAGUUAGUGUUCUUCCGUAUAUGCCAAUCAUACCAAGGCUUCAACAUCUUUUGAUGGUCGAAGAGACAGCCAGAUAGAUGACAUGGCACAAAAUGGGCAAAAGAAUCGACCUAGAUGCGGAUGGGAAUAAGAUGGCAGUACACACAUUGGAUGGGGAAGCUUGGAAACAUUUUGAUGGAUUGCAUCACGAUAAAGCGGCAGAUCCGAGGAAUCCUCGAGUCUGCAUCGCCACAGAUGGUUUUAAUCCCUUCAGCAUGACGGCAACCCAAUACAAUAGUUGGCAUGUAUUUGUCAUUCCACUCAAUCUCCCCCCGGGCAGAUUAUGCAAAGAAAGAACAUAUUUCUAACAUUGAUAAUUCCAGGGCCCAAUUAUCGGGGGAAGAAUAUGAAUGUGUACAUGCAGCCGCUUAAGGAUGAAUUGCAAGAAGCUUGGGACAAUGGGGUCAAGACAUACGAUGCCGCUAGAAAAGAGAACUUCAAAAUGCAUGUGUGGUACAUGUACUCUAUGCAAGACUUGUCGGCGUAUGCGCUAUUCUACGGAUGGUGCGUGCAUGGAAGGUUCCCGUGCCCCACAUUCAAGGCAGCUCUUCAGUUUCAUUGGUUGCAGGAGGGUCAGAAGUAUUCUUGCUUUGACUUGCAUAGACAGUUCCUAGAUCCUGGCCAUCAAUUCAGAAAAGACAAGAAGAACUUUACCAAAGGUAAAGUUGUCAAAAACUUGGCACCACCUGUGUUGACAGGCCAACAGAUCCUGGAUCAGUUAAACGCCCUCGAGCCUGAUCCAAAGCGUCCAGGGUAUUUCAAGGGGUAUAAUUCAAAACACGCCUGGACUCACAAGCCAUGCUUGUGGGAUCUGCCUUACUUCAAAGACCUCCUUCUUCCACACAAUAUCGACAUGAUGCACACCGAAAAGAAUAUCAGAGAGGCUAUUUUUGGUACAUUGUUCGACAUAGAUGGGAAGACAAAGGAUAAUACUAAGGCUAGAGUCAAUCAAGAGACACUAUGUCACAGACCGUUACAAAACAUGCGAGAAGGCAAAGGAAAGCAGAAGUGGUCGAAGCCAAAGGACUGGUUCAAUCUUGGAAGGCCAGCUAUGAGGGAAAUUAUAUUGUGGGUCAAAAUGCACUUGAUGUUCCCCGAUGGGUAUGCAGCGAAUCUAAAGAGGGGAGCGAGUCUUGAAAAAAAUAAAAAUCUUGGUCUCAAGAGUCAUGAUUGGCACAUAUGGCUUGAGCGGGUAAUGCCGGUGAUGUUACGUGGCUUUAUUCCUGAGGAUGAAUGGCUAGUACUGGCGGAGCUGAGCUAUUUCUUCCGUGUUAUUUGUGAGAAAGAAUUGUCUCCUAGCGUGGUAGAUGACAUGGAAGAGUUUGCACCGGAGUUUCUAUGCAAGUUAGAGAAGAUCUUUCCGCCGGGCUUCUUUAAUCCAAUGCAGCAUUUGAUUUUACAUCUACCGACCGAGGCAAGAUUGGGUGGGCCCGUGCAAAAUUAUUGGUUCUAUGCAACUGAGAGGAUGCAGAAGACGCUUCGAGCUAAAUGUAAAAAUAAGCGUAGAGUUGAAGCAUCGAUGGUUAAGGCAUUCAUUACUGAGGAGGUGGCAAACUUUGUGACAGCACACUAGGAAGCCAAAUAUCAUCAUUUGCAUAAUCCGUAGCCUCGGUACAAUGAUGAAGACCCUAAAAGGGGUGGAUCUAACCUCAGCCUAUUCAAAGGGAAGCUCGCACCAGCUGGUGCUUCGAAACCAAUAACGUUGGAUGUCGAAGAAUGGCGAAACAUUUCGUUGUAUAUCUUCAACAACCUAACAGAAGUGCGGUUGUACAUCGAGUAAGUUCUCGACACAUUUUUUCAUAACUUCUAAUUCCUUUGAACUGCUCUUAUUCCUGGAUAUUUCAUACAGCCGAUACGUUGCCAAAUUCUCGGAUGGAGUGGUGACCCAAAAUGAUUUCGUCGAAGAGUAUGAGCUUCUAGCAAAUCAUGGAGGCGGCUAUCCCGGUUUCAUCUCUUGGUUCAAACAAACGGUAAUUAUCAAUAAUGGACCAUUUCAUUUCUUGGUCUAACUUUCGGCUAAUGCAACAAUCAUUUCGUAUUAAACUUGUAGGCUAAUUCAGAGUCUAUGGCCGCCGAGUUGAGACAAGCCGCUAAUGGUUUUGACUAUAAGGUCCAUUCAUUUGAGAAAUACAACAUCAAAGGGUAUCUCUUUGGUACCUUUCGCAAAGAGCUAUCUAUGCCCGACCGGAAAUCUACCAAUUGUGGUGUCUCUGCUAUCGGCAAAGGCGGUCUCGAGUAUUAUGGAAGGGUUGAAGCAAUUUAUGAACUUCAAUUAUAUGGUGAAAACCCACCGAACGUCGUAGUCUUGAAAUGUUCUUGGUUCCAUCCAAAGGAGACUACAAGGACUCAUGAACAUAUAGGACUAGUCAAAAUCUAUCCAAACACCCAUUUAGAUGUUCCCGAUGUCUAUAUUACGGCUCAACACGCGACCCAAGUUUUCUAUCUACCAUGGGCAUGCCAAACUGAUAAGAAUCUGGAAGGUUGGUAUGUUGUUUAUGAAGUGCAGCCACGUGUUAAACCAUCUCCCCCAAAUGAACAAGAUUAUGAACCUCACAUUAACUCAAACACAUAUGAUGGAGAAUUCUUCCAAGAAACACCUAUUUCCAAGAAACGUUUCAAGAACCGCCAUGCUUCACCCCAGAACAUGGAAGUAGACAACGACAAUGAAUCCAACUUCACCCCUGAGACGGAACCAACAGAGCUGGAACUAGAAGAGGUUACUGAUGGGAUGACCUGUCAAUGCUUGACUGAUUACAGAAACGCCUUCCACAACUUCAUUCGUUCAACCCGAUGAGCAUGUCAUUCAUGAAGAAAUGCGUGAUAGUGAUGAUGAUGAUGCAUUUAUUGAUGAUGAUUAUUAGUUUGUAAGAUUCCCAACUUAAAUUAUAUAUGUACGUAUUAUUAUUCAUGUGAGUUAUUCAAUUUUUUUAUGUUGUACUAAUUUAUUUUAAUCUUUAUCAUGGCAGGUCAGCAUGUGUUGAAAGAUGGUGGGCGCGGGUCUAGAUCGCUCAACAGGUUCUUCUUCGGCGGCCCGCACGAGGGGUGGUACUUCCAUUCCACCCCUAUGUCUCCGUAGAGCCUUUCCAGUCAGUCUGACGACACCACCCACGGGUGCUUCUUCGUCGGCGGCAUUGCCCACUGGGAGAGGUGCUGGCCGGGCAGGGAAGAAGGGGAAGGGUAUAGGGAGAGGUGGUGGCCGCGGAAGAGGUAGGCGGACUGUUGCGCCGUCCUCGUCACCACCACCAGCUCAUUCAUCCGAGCACAGGACUACUAUGGUGGACCCGUUUGCGGAGGAGGCUACGGGGACUCUAGUCUAGGAGCCUCGGGUGGACGGGCAUUCGGACCAUGAGACUCCGGUCCAGGAUUAGCCUCGGGUCGAGGUGCCUUCGGCCCACGAGACUCCGGUUCCUGAGGCUACGUCCUUGGAGACUUCUGCCACACACGCUUCGGCCGGCGUGGAGACGUCCGGAUGGGGUGCCUGGUCGGAUCGGACCGAGGUGCCGGAUUGGACCGAGGGUCCGAGUGGCUAUUCUGUUGAUGGCGGGGAUGAGUCUACGGAUAGUGAGGGUGACGUGCAGGUGGACGGGGCCACCGUGUACAGGCAUGGUAGUAUACGUCUCCCAGUCGCGUCGGCUACCAGCGAGCAGAGGCCGGUGAUUAAGCGUGAAGGGGAUAGGUAAGUACGUUUACUCUUUUUUUAGCUGCUGCCUUCAAGUUCCUUCAAAUAUCUAAUGCGUUGACCUUAUCAUACAGCAGGGGCUGGAAACACCCUGGUGGAGUCGACAAGCCAAACAGCAUCCUUGGUGUGCUUUGUCGGACAAAUUUCUCGGGGUUUGUCACGUUGCCUGGUGAGGGUCAGGUUCCUACACUAGGAUUUUCCUCGGAGCACUACCAGGCUGUGCAGGCCCCGUCGGAGGACAUUAUAGAUGGUGCCUUGUGCCACACGAGGGCCGAUAUGAUGAUCAACAACUUUUGGGCAAAUUAUCCUUUUACACAAUCUAAAAUUAACAAUAUAGCUAAUUAUUGUACUAAUCGGUGUUGUCUCGUUUGAUUGCAGACCUUCUAUACGUGUGAGGAGGAGGCGGCCAAGGUUAUCAAGGCCGAGUGUAGGCGGUUAUUACAGAAUUUACGCCACAAGGCUCGGCCGCGGGCCAUUCGAGACUACUAUGCCACGAUUGGUAUUAAGAAGCAGAAGAAGGAGUGCCGCGGAAAGUAUCUGAAGGAGGAGUACAUGAAGGUAAUUACCUAUUCUUAAGGCCUUGUAUGUAGUUUUCUUGAUUUGAUUCAUAGGUGUAGCGCUCAAAAUUCGAGCCGACCACGACAAUGCAAAGGAUCAGCGUAGCAAAAUGGUUGGUGUGCCACACCAUCAAGGGAGCGCCAACUUACUUCAGUUCGGACGAAACUGGGUAUGUGGUUUGCUUCAUGAUUCAUGCAAUUCAUUCUUCAUGCUAGCUUGAGCCCCUUACUAAUACUUUGUUCCUCUCUUUUAGGCGCACCAUAAUAAGAUGGAGAUGCCAAAGUUCUACGACCUUUAUGGCAUGGCCCAUACCGCCUCGUACAAGAAGGUGAAGGCAUUCUGUGAGUCUAACCUGGAUGAUCCAAAUAACUUCACCAGCAUCUCAUCCCACCACAAGCUCAUGAAAUACAGGUACACAGGAAAGGCUUGGAAAGGGGAGGACUUUAACCCAAGCCAGGAACCUUUGGAUCCAGAGCUCGUGAUGAUAUCUGGUGGCGGGAGGCCCCAUGGCUCGAUAGCCAUUGGAGAUGGGAUAAUACGUUGUCCACUCACUCUCCCGGAGAUCAAGGCGCGCCAGUCAAGCUCCUGUCCUAAGAUAACGCCUGGUCCACGGGCAGUCGAUCUUGCCAUCGAGGUUAGUUGUACGGACUCAGAAAACUUCCAUCCAUUUCAUUGUGUGUGUGCCAUCGAUCAUUACUGUGGUAGCGAGGAAUGGUGUUGCAGGUUGCUCUUAAGAAAGAGAGAGUGGCAAACGAAGCUGCUCUUGAGAAAGAGAGAGCCGCAAGCCAGGCUGCUCUUGAGGAGAGAGACCAGACCACAGCUCGGUUGAUUGAGGGGGAGAGGGCCCGCAAUGAGGUGGCUCACCUCGUCAUGUACGAGCUUAUUGUGGUAAGUUUCUUUUUCACAUUAGCCAAAUCAUGUGUGUAAUGUAUGCUUCAUUACUAACUAAUACGACUGACUCUUCAAAACCGAAUGUGCAGUCUAUGUACGAGAAUACCGGUCAAGCCCCUUCACCGAUGCCCAUCUUCUGUGCGAUUGGCACGGUGAGUUUCAUAUCAAUGGUCAUUAUAAACUAGUAUUAACAAUUGAGUGUCAUCAUGCUAACCGAGACAUUGCAAAAUAUCUUUUCUGCAGAAUAACUCCCGAGAGGCAUCGCACGACCCUUCUCCAGGGCAACUGUCUCCAAACGAAGCCGACGCAAGGACCCUGGUGUUUCUCCUCCUUCAUGACCAAUGUGGUAAGUUUUCUCCAAAAUGACAAAAUAAGCUCCUACUUGAUUUCUACUAGGAAAAAUAGUUAGUGAAACCACUAGGUUCAUAACUUAGCUAAUUUAGCUCCAAAAUGGUUAGUGAAACCACUAGUCUCAUAACUUAGCUAAUUUAGCUCCAAAAUGACAUAAUAAGCUCGAUUGAAAUAGUAAAAAUGAAAAGAAGAAAUAAGAAGAAGAAGAGAAGNNNNNNNNNNNNNNNNNNNNNNNNNNNNNNNNNNNNNNNNNNNNNNNNNNNNNNNNNNNNNNNNNNNNNNNNNNNNNNNNNNNNNNNNNNNNNNNNNNNNNNNNNNNNNNNNNNNNNNNNNNNNNNNNNNNNNNNNNNNNNNNNNNNNNNNNNNNNNNNNNNNNNNNNNNNNNNNNNNNNNNNNNNNNNNNNNNNNNNNNNNNNNNNNNNNNNNNNNNNNNNNNNNNNNNNNNNNNNNNNNNNNNNNNNNNNNNNNNNNNNNNNNNNCUUCUCCUCCUCCUCCUUAUUCUUCUUAUUCUUCUUCUCCUUCUUCUCUUCUUUCUUCUUCUCUUUCUUCUUAAAUUUAGCUUAUUUUCCCCAACAAAGACAUACUUAGCUAAUUAUCCUCCAAAAUGACAUAAUUAGCUUAGUUAGGCAAAAACAUCAUAAGAACCUUGGUUAGCUCAUUAAAAUGACUAAUUAAGCUCCUAAAAGACAUUAUAAGCUCAAAAUGGCAUAAGAACCUUGGUUAGCUCAUUAAUAUUAUAUACUUAGCUUGUUUUCCUCUAUAAUGACAUAAUUUGCCCAUUUAGCUCNUCAAAAUGAUAUAAUUAGCUUAGUUAGGUAAAAACAUCAUAAGGACCUUGGUUAGCUCAUUAAAAUGACUAAUUAAGAUCCUAAAAGACAUUAUAAGCUCCAAAUGGCAUAAGAACCUUGGUUAGCUCAUUAAUAUUAUAUACUUAGCUUGUUUUCCUCUAUAAUGACAUAAUUUGCCCAUUUAGCUCNGGAGUGCUUUAGUUCUAGUUUUCAUUUGAGUUGAUGAACAAUGUGGAACUAUAUGUAUAUGUAUAUAUGGAUGAAGAAUAUAUGUGGAACUACAUGUAUAUGUAAAUAUUGCUGAAACUUUGUUUAUGUUGGUUAUUUUGAUAUAUGCGAUGUACAUUGAUGAACAAAUGGCAUUGAUGAACUUUAUAUGUAUAUCAUAUAUGUGUUCUGACCUAUAUAUCAUAUCUGUGCUAUGAAUUAUAUAUAAAUAUAUUUCUUGUGUGUUUAGUAACUAGGCAAGAUGAGUGUGUUGGAAAUAUGCCCUAGAGGCGAUAAUAAAAUGGUUAUUAUCAUAUUUCCUUGUUCAUGAUAAUCGUCUAUUGUUCAUGCUAUAAUUGUAUUAACAGGAAACAGUAAUACAAGUGUGAAUAAAUAGAUCACAAUGUGUCCCUAGCAAGCCUCUAGUUAGCUAGCUCGUUAGUCAAUAGAUGAUCAUGGUUUCCUGAUCAUGGGCAUUAGAUGUCAUUGAUGACGGGAUCACAUCAUUGGAGAAUGAUGUGAUGGACAAGACCCAAUCCUAAGCAUAGCACUAGAUCAUAUUGUUGGUAUGCUAAAGCUUUUCUAAUGUCAAGUGUAUUUUAUUUCAACCGUGAGAUUGUGCAACUCCCGGAUACCGUAGGAGUGCUUUGGGUGUAUCAAACGUCACAACAUAACUGGGUGACUAUAAAGGUGCACUACGGGUACCUCCGAAAGUGUCUGUNGCGGAUGGCAAAGGCCUUUGCCAUCAGGCAGCUGAUGGCAAAGGUGCCACGUGGCACCCAGCUGUGCAACCUGGGCAGCAACAGUUGGCCGUAUGGGCUCUUUGUCGUCCGCUGCCUCGGGAGGCUAACGGCACAGCGGUAGGGAGGCAAACGGCAAAGAGUAUGAUCCCUGCGCUGGCCCAACUCUGUGCUGGCCAUAGAAGCAGAUGACAAAGAGGGGGAGGGACGCAGACGACAAAGAGAGGGAGGGAGGCAUACGACAAAGAGAGGGAGGAAGGAAGAUGGCAACUAGAGGGAGGAAGGCAAACGACAAAGCCUCUGUUAGCCCUAACGGAGGCGUUGCCUGUCGGCUGCCCUCUAAGCAUGUUUGUCGUCUGCUCUAUGCCAGAGGCUGACGGCAAAGACCUUUGCCAUCCGCUUAAGGAAGACUGACGACAAAGAAGGUGAUAUGUCGUCGAAAGUCAUCGUAGGAACAUUGCCGACAGGAGGCUGACGACAAAGACCUUUGCCGUCGGUGGAUCACCUCUUUGCCGUCUGUUAUGGCAGACGGCAAUGAGUCCGAUUCCUCUAGUGAUUGGUGCUAAAAAUGUGGUAUUGACCAUUAUUUAGUUGUUGAGGAUUGCUGUGAAAUCCAUACUGAUUGCUAUUUUGUUGAUUUCCUUGGUCAGAACGCUACCUAUUACCAGUAUUCUCUUGGUGCUGAUAUUCUAAUCUAGAACCGCCUGGUUCGUUAAAUCCGGACCCUAAGAAACCUCAAGACGAGCCGCCUUGCGGGCCAGGUUGUUCAUACUGACCCGAAUGUCCACCAUUAUCCCCAAGGUGGCAUUGAAAGGCUUGAUUUCUAAACUCCUGCAUGAUAUAGAAAUUUUCCCAUGAAUGAUUAGAUGGCUUAUCCUGAGUGCUAUCCUUUAGUCAAGGCGCCUUGAGGGCCUCCUCAUAGUUAUGUGGCUUAUUCCCUUAUAAGGUCCUUCGGAACGGCGCUGGUGUUUAAAUUCAGUGUUGGUAUUGGCCACAAAUUCUGAACUGCCCUCAGACUACCUCCGUUUAUUGUUGUGGUUUCCCUGGUUUCCACUUUGUUGGUUACCUUUGGCACCUUCUCCUUUCUUGCACUUGUCGGUCUUGUCCUCGUCUGACCCAGGGUCUUUCGUGCCACCUGACUCGGCGUACCUUGUCAGAACGUCCAUCAAGUCGCCCAUGUAUUGAGUCUUUCGCUUCAAACGACCCAACUUAAGCACCAAUGGCUGGAAAUGACAAUUCUUCUCCAGGUUUAGAACGGCUUGUGAGGCUAUUAUACUAUCCGAUGAAUCAAUUAUUUCUGCAACCGACGAGUCCAAUGAUGGGCUCACUCGCCCGUCCGCUGAACGUAAUGCUGGAGAUCCACAAUUGUCAUCGGGCGCUUGCAUGUUCCUUAGAAUUUUUUUACGAAUCGUUCCUUCAACUCCGCCCAAGUGUUGAUGGAAUUAGGUGGAUGUUUUUUAAGCCAAGUUAGGGCUGGCCCUUCUAACAUCAUCAUCACAUACUUUGCCCAUACCUCAUCACUGACGUCGAGCAUGUCCAUGGCUAGCUCGUAACUUCCAAUCCAUACCACCACCUCAAGAUCUGAUGUAUAGUUUGGCACAUUGCGCGGUCCUUUCAAGUCUUUGGGCAUGGGCUCGCUACGAAGAGCCAGAGAUAAGCAUGGAACACCGAUUGUCCUGGUGCUACUUCUGGCUCCAUGUGUUGCUUAUUGUGGUUCCGCUACAUGCGGUUGAGCCGCCCGCCUCAUGGCCGCUUCUGCCUCCACCUGACGGGCGGCUCUUGCCGCGUCCACCAAGUCUUAGGAAUUCUGAAAUCCUGGACCAGUCGGGGAAACCCAAAGCUGUUGUCGCCACACGUUACUGGAAACAGCCGAUGACUCCCCAUGGCGGAUGAUAUAAGGUGUGGAGUGCAUUCGAUCUCGACUGUAUGAGUACUGCACCUGUUGGGCCACUGCCAUCUUCAGCAUCUCAGUCGCGUUCCUAGCUUCAAUUUCCACCGGGGUGUUUCCAUGUAUAGGGAGCGACUCCAAGUGACGCAUUGCAGCCAACAUAUGGUCAACGGGGUUGGAAAAUAACCCUGUGGUGUGUAAAAAUGAUGUGGCCAUGCCUGAGCUGGUUGUGCCUUAGCCAGUUGUGCCUAAGCUGGUUGUGCCUCAUCUGGCUAUCCCUGAUCAUGCGGCGGGUUCCGUGCAGCGUGAGGACUGUGGGGACUAGCAAAUAGGAGCGUCGGUGUUACGUCUAGUGGUAACCAAGAUUGAUGUCUCCUCAAGUGAAUCGCCUCUUUUGUCUGUUAUCGAAGUCCAAGCUGCCACGCCUCUACCCGUAAAUGCUCCAACUCAUCACCGACUCGAUCCUGUGUCUCUGCAAACCGUAUGUUUUCAGUGUCGAUCUCUUUCUGAACCUUGAUCAUCUUUGUGCAGAGUUUUGCUAGUUCUGCAUUACGUUCUUCUCAGUUCUCGUUGAUUAUUGUAUCCUCCAAGAGAUUAGUCAUCUCGGCAUUCAGGUCACUCAUGGCUUGAGACAACGUUUUACUCGACCCACCAGCCUCAUUGGUGGCUCCUGCUGUAGCUGGAUCUGAUGAAGGCGCGACUCAAGCCAUGUAAAUAGUGACUUGCCAAGGUGGGUCAUCUGGCUCCGUCGUAGCUUCUUCCUCCAGAGCUUCCCCAAGCUCGUUACUAAGGGGAAAGAUGGAUCCGGUGUAUCUCAUGGAGGACUCGCCAUCAUGGUUGUCAUUGUCGAGGAUGUCCUCAACGUUUGCCGGUUCAUCCGCAAGGCUGAGCCCCUAGGUCAAUCCGACAAACAUGUGACGACUAUGUGUUUGGAAAUGACCGUGUCGGUCGCGCCGAGUCAGCUCGUUGACGGUGGUGUAUAUGUCCGACCCGAGCAUCCUUGCGCAGAUCUGACCGAAGGGGAUCUGCGAAUUAGUUUCUCCUAAGCCGACCUUAAAGCCCUAACCUAUGUUGUUGAUGUAGCGAUUGUUGCGAUGAUUCUUGAUCAUCUUGGCCACCGCGCGACUCCCAAAUCCCGGAAGAGUUCCCUCUGAGUACUCAACUCCACCUUGUGAUUGCCCCAUGGUGGGCGCCAACUGUCGUGGUUUUUUCGCGGCAGAUGUCCUCAUGAAUGGACUUAGUGGUGAGACCAUUGUCGUGAUGUGGGGACUCGAAGGGGUUGAUUGGGAAACAAAAGGCGGAUUUACCCAGCUUCAACCCCUCCGAUGGAGGUAAAAGCCUACGUCCUGCUUUGUGUUUGUAUUGAUGGCAAUCUCGAUUACAAGGGUGCGGAAUCGCUAACCUAGCUCUCGAGGGUUUCUAACUUGAUAUCUCUGGCUUGAGGGUCCUCCUUUAUAUAUAGGUAGAGGCCCCAAGUCUACAGUGAAGUCUCAGUCAAAUAAACAGUCGGGUGCUACUACAAAUCUACCUUAUCUUUCUUCCUAAGUGAGGAAAGCUUCUAGUGUCUCUUGCCAUGUUCAUCUUUGAGUCGCCGCCUUCUGGUGAUGGGCCACUUGGGGGCUUUGUCGACUAAGUCCGCCGGCCCAUAUUCUCAUCUUUUCCUUGCGGCUUGACCCGCCCUCAUAAGGCGGAUUAAAUCCUGGGGUUAUAUCCCCGACACUCGGGAAGAAAACUGGUCGGCGCAUACCGAGUUCAGAUCCGGAGCCCCCGUGAGGCUAACCUCGUGUGUUAGAAAAGGUAUUGACUGGGGAUCGGCCUUGGAGGUGAAUGCGCUAUAGAAGCACAUCACACAGAUGGGGGAGGCGAAUAUCAAGCUGACCAACGUGGUUCAGGUCAUGCUCCGCCGUUGCAUCCUUCCCUGCGAGCGUCGGGACACUCCAAUGUGGUCCUACAAGCUUGGUGACCCCAAGACCGUGCACCAGUUCUACCACACUACCCAUGAGAAAUUGUGGAGGGUGUUGUUCAAACCUCAACAGGAAUGGCCGGUCGAGGAAGAAGACGCCGGCUUUGAUGCCGAUCACCCUCCCUUGGAGGAAUAACUGAGCUUUUAUCUUAUUUAAAGCUUUAAUAUUUAGCAAGGAGCUUAUCCUUUCCACCAUCAUCCCUGUAGGGCUGGUUGAACAAGGCCGUGAAAAUAAACAACCCAGCCACCUACCUGAGGACCCCAGGUCGCCAUUGUUGAUCGUGAUGCUGGUGGUGGCGCCAUACACGACACUAGAGAAAAAAGAGAAAAAGAAAAGGGAGGCCCGCGGGGGUCUCCGCUCGAGGGGUCCUCCGGAUACCAAGUUCGGAGACACCCAUGCUUCCUCCACCUACGAGAAAGAGGAUGCACAUGACGGAGAGGAGAAAGAUUCCCUCCGAACAAGAAAGAGGACGGCGCUGGAGGAGGCCAAGGAGGGCUUGCCUCCUCAGGCCCGGAAGAGGCCCUACAGGAGCAAGGUCAUCCAUUCCGACGAUAUCUCAAAUUCUGAUGGGGACUCCGGGGCCUUUGAGAGGGUUCCCCGAAGGAACCCCAGGAUCAAGCCCUGUCGAAAGGUAUGGAAUCCAAACUUUAUUUAUUGGAAUUAUACUGAGCAUUUGUUAAUAAACAUACGUGCUCCUUUCCUUGACGCAGCCCUACCUGAAACCUCUUGACGAACCAGGUCUAAAAGGGGGGUUCACCACCGGCCAAGCUAGCGGAGAGCGGGAAUGUGUCCCGUACUACUCUCCCUUGGGCAUCGGACGAGGUUGCGGAGGUGAUAUCCCACCAGGCCCCUCCGAACAUGGGGGACGAGGUGGUGAUGGCCGAGGUUCAUACGUCGGCCACCGAAGAUCGAGAGGUCCCAGACAAAGUUCAUGCCUCGGUCACCGAAACCCAAGAGGUUGGCCCCCUCCUGACGAGUGGGGAGGGGGGCCGUGAUUCUUCUCAGCUUCCUCCGGAGGUAGCUCCAGGGACCUCUGAUCCUCUGAUGUCUUCAACGUUGCUUCUGAUGCCGCCUACGACAGAAGGGCUACGACCGAGUGGCCUGCAAUGAUGGAGGAGGCUUUAUCCAGCUCAUCCAUUGCCGAUGAACAUCGCACCCUUAUGGGUGCAAUCCUACAAAGCAUUCAGUCCGUUGACUGUGGACUGAAGGGAGCCUUCAGCGGUUUGCUGGCAGGCUUCAAGGUAAACCAUGUAGUGUUAGAUUUAUUUAUAAGGUUCUACAUGCCUUAUAGGUAUGACAGCCCCCAAGCCAUGGGUGAGUUGAAACACUUACCCAUGGAUGAAAAGAACUUAUAGACAUGAAUAAAAAUAGUUCGGGGACCCUUGAACUAUAAUAACUCAGGGAGGGGGGGUACUUUGACCAAAUGUCCUAGUCCCGUUAGCUCGGAUGCUUGUCAAUCCAGAACUUGUCUCGCAGGCCUCGUCCUUGGUUGUGGCCACCAACACCCUUGAACUUUCCGAACUAGACCGAAAACUCAAGGUUUCCGAUGAAGAACUCAGCCGUCUUAAUAGUAGGCUCGACGAGAAGCAGGGUAAGCUUGAUGUGUGCCAGUAAGACUCUUGUUGUACUUAACAAUUUAGUACUGUCUGGCUUUGGUAUAUGACAUAUUUAUUCCGAUUAUGUUAGCAUCUAUGGACGUGGAGUUAGAGAAACUCAAGGCCGAAUUGGAAAAGGCCAAGCAGGAGGCUGUCGCGCAUAAGAUGGUGGCCGAGCAGACAACUGCUGAACUAAGCUCGUUGAAGGUUGAGAGCAGCGGGCACAAGACUAGAGUGGCCGAGGUCUAUCAGGAGCUUCAAGAUGCGAGCGCUAAGAGCGAGGCCUUGGAACAAAAAUCCAAAGAACAAGCGGCCGAGCUAUCGGAGUUGUCCUCCGAGCUCAAUCAGAGCGGUUAGAGAGGCGCUUUUUCAAAGAAGAAGUGCGCCAAGCCAAGAAUAUUGCAGAUGGUAAGCCAUACUUACUGCAAUGUGCCUUUGGUGGAAACAUGUUUGCCUUUCUUACAUGGCUAUGGCGUUCCCCAGUCGGCUUUACGGACCUCCUGUGGAGUGCAGCACACACGGCCAAGCGCUAUGCGGCCCAAGAAGGGGACACCGAGCAGAGGCUUUUCUGGGCACAGUUUCAGACUCCCGAGCCCAAGCCCCUUCUCGUCUACUAGAUGAAAUAGCUCAUGGAGUUGCACAGGAUGGCAGAGCUGGCCAUGAAGGACCUCUGCAUCCGGUUGUGGCCUGCCAAGCCUCUUCCAAGCAGUUACUUCAGCUUAGUGCGGAAGUUGUACAACGACGUGCGUCAAAUCGAGGCCCUGAAGCGCUCUGUUUGCAUAGAGGGAGCUCGGAUGGCUUUUGCGAGGACCAUGAUGCACAGGCCAGGGGAGAAUCCCCUUACGAUGGCAACCGCACCUCCGCCUCUUGGAAAGGAGCACAGGCGUCCAAAGCUUUAUUUCUCUACCGCAGCGGAGGGUGCUCGGGCCAUAGAACUUUGGAUUUUUGUUCGAAGGCCUCGCUCUUGGUGCUCGCAUCUUGAAGCUCGGGUAAUUUUUGAGUGAGGAUAUCGUUGUCUGCCUUGGAACAAUUUAUUAUUAUGAAGCUUGUCCCACUGUAAUGCACUUUGUAUUAUUUUGACUGUUGUGUGGCCGUUUAAUCUCAAAGUUUCCAGUCGUCGGCUUCAUCCCCCAUGUAAAGACUACAAGGGGUGUUUCGACAUCUGCACUGUGACCCUUAGCCGAUAUAUCGGUGCCGGAGGCGGUAGUGUGUGAAGGAAAUGAGGGAAUCGGACUAUGCGACUUUAGUGCUUUCACUUAGCCUUAGGAGCUUGAAUUCGAGGGCUGACUACGAGUCUCCAUUUUUUUGUGGUAGUGGGAUGAACCAGAUUUUGAGACAUUUACCACAAGGUUUGCAAAGAAACAAACACCUCUAUAUGACACGGAAUAAAACCUCCAUCGGUCUUUCGUACUUAAGCUCGGAUUGCAGACCAGUUCUCGCUUAUUAUGACAGUCAGUUUUCGGCUUUCUCCACUGAGGUAUUUUAGCCAGGCUAGUUGGGAAUACAAUCGCAGUGGUUCUCCCUUUACCCCUUUAGCUGAACCAGUAGAACAUAAGGGGGUAAGAACAGGAGCGGGGCAACCCAAUUAUCGACCCAAGACAUGAUUCUGAACCGAUGCAUAUAAAGCAAUAUCAUAGAAACCGAACACUUAAAAAGUAGUGAUGGGGUAGUGCUCGGGGAAGUACUUUCAUCCAAGCCCCUGUCUAUUAGCCCAUCGCACUUGAUAUUUAUUGAACAAUUUUACCCAUCGACGCCAAUGAGCAGGAAACAUAUAUAUGUAAAGAUACUGUAAAAGAGUAUAUAAAUAGUAUUUGCUAGGAAUUUUUAUAAUUUGUGGCACCAAGGUAGUUGUUAUAGGUAACUAUUGUUUUGAACAACAUAUUUCAAAGCAACUUUCUUCCACACGACCUUCCAAGGGUGACUUGACGUUCGCCCUGCUUCUAGCUGCACAAUUUCUCCUAUGCUUUCUAUAAGGGAGGGGUAGUAUCCUUUAAUGGUGGUUGUUUUCUACAAACGGACCUUGAAUAGAUGGUCUUGAAAAGCUGUCGUGGUAUGGGUGAGCUUGAUGCUUGGGAGAUCCUUAAUGGUAUCUCAUUUUUUGUCCGUGAAUACGUUUGGACGUAGUUUGGUCGAACCGAACAUAUGGUCCUUGGUAGUGGAUCCCCACAGCUGCCCAUGGUAUUUUGAGAAUGAAAUUGUGUCUACGAGGGACAUACCUUAUGGGUGACCGGGCCAUGCCAUGGGGAGCGUAUCCCUAUUUUCUUUGAGACAGAGAUAUCUCCGGGGGAUCCGAUUGAGCUCGGGCUCGCUUGCUCGCCUACCACGCCUUGAUGGCUAGCUUGUGUCGUGCUGCUUCUUUUUUGUAUUAGCAUUCAGCUGCCAAGGUCGCUGUGUGCUCCUCGGUACGGAGGGAGCGUUCUGUGUUGUCGUUGAUGGUGAUAACUCCCCUGGGUCCGGCCAUUUUGAGCUUUAGGUAGGCGUAAUGGGGAAGAGCGUUGAAGCGGGCGAACACCGUGCGGCGGAGUAGUGGGUGAUACCUGCUGUAGAAGGUGACGAUGUUGAAGAUUAAGUCUUCGAUGCGGAAGUUGUAGGUCAGCCGAACACAACCUCCAGCAUUACCGUGUCGGAGCAGCGGGAUCACUCCUUUGAAGGUAGUGUUGCUGGGUUUGAUUCUUGAUGGGUCUAUGCCCAUCUUAUUUGUCGUAUCUGAGUAAAUCAGGUUAAGGCUACUUCCUUCGUCCUUAAGGACUCUAGUGUGGUGGUACCCAUAUAUGAUGAGGUCUACAACAAGGGCGGCCAGCCCUCCAUGACUGAUACUGGUCGGAUGAUCCCUACGGUCGAAGGUGAUCGGGAAAGCCGACCAUGGGUUGCACAUCGGGGUUAUGGGCUCUAUGGCAUAUACCUCCCAAAGGGCUUGCUUCGUCUCCUUCUUUGGUAUGUGAGUAAUGUAUAUCAUAUUCACGGUUUUCACCUCUAGGGGAACUGUUUUUGGCCCGAGUUGUUCGGAACGCGGGCUCUUCAUCAUCCUCGUUUCGUGGGCCCUUGCCUUGUUCGUCGGUUGCUACUUUGCCAACCUAUUUAAACACUCAACAGUUACGAUUUGUGUGGGUGGCGGUCUUGUCUUGGGUGCCAUGGAUCUAGAGAGGCCUUUACAUAAUACUAUCUAAUGUAGUCAGUCCAUUCCUGUUCCAUUUAAAUGGUUUCUUUCGCUGUCCGGGUUUUGAGCUGCGGAAGCCAGCAUUUAGGGUUGUGUCAACGGCGUCACCUUUACGGUGGCGGAGUUUGGUCUUGUUUUUCCUUGGCUUGCCAUUUCCAUCCUGAACUUUAGAGGUACCGGGGUCGUCCGCAUUAUGGUCGCGCCGAGCUAGAAAAUUGUCCUUGCCCGCGCAAAAGCGGAACAUGAGGGAAGUGAGAGCGGACAUUUUAUCGGCCUAUCCUCGCCGACCUGGCGAGCCAACCAUUCGUCCUGGGUAUUGUGCGUGAAGGAGGUUGUCGCAUUGUCAUCCGGACAAUCCACGAUCUAGUUCUUCUUUGUUAGGAACCUAUUCGAGAAUCCUAUGGCCGAUUCGCCCGCGUUUUGGAUGGCGUUGCUUAGGUUGGAGGAAUCCGGUGGUCGAACGUAAGUUCCCUGAAAAUUAGACAGGAAGGCUUCUUCAAGGUCUUACCAACAUCCGAUGGAAUUUUCAGGUAAGCUAUUUAGCCACUACCGUACUGGCCCUUUCAGCUUUAGGCGUAGUUACUUGAUGGCGUGGAGGUCAUCUCCCCUGGCCAUAUGAAUGUGGAGAAGGAAAUCUUCUAUUCACACGGCGGGGUCCGUAGUCCCGUCGUAUUGUUGUAUGUUCAUGGGUUCAAACCCUUCCGGGAAUUGGUGUUGCAUGACCUCAUUUGUAAAGCACAAUGGGUGGGCGACGCCUCUGACCCAGGCUAUACUGUGCCAGCGAUCGGCUGUUGGUUUUGCUCGGUACGAUUCUCGAUCUCUAUUGAUGUGGGUAAACCAAGGUUGGUCUCCGUCCCAUCGAGUGGGAGAGUACCUUCUAGAUCCAUACAUGGACCUAUUGCGACCUGUUCUGUUGUCCAAGUCGUGACGUAGGUCAUGUCUACCCCUGGGUUGCACAUGAUCCUUUCCCUUCCUGCUGGGAGGCUCGGGUCCAUACUCGGCUUCUCCGGCCGCUCUGUCACGCCCUCGAGGUUGGCAAUCGGGCUGAUCAUACUGGGUGCGCCUGGGGGACACGGGCUCUCGGGCCUCGUCAUCGAACUGAGGCAGCACGCGUCGGCGUGGGUACCUUUUGUUCUGAUCUAGCCACUCGGUGCCAUAUCCUUCUUUAUUUGCCAAUACUUUUGUCCAUCUAUUGUUUAUGGUGUCAUGUUUGGCUUGGAGCCGCUGUUGCUUCGCUUGGAGGCUGCGGGCGAUAGCUACGAGUUGUUGCUUGAACCGUUCCUGACCCUCAAGGUCCUCGAGAACUAUGAAGUCUUCGGCCUUUAUACUAUCUUUCGCGUCAUCACGAGGGAGGUAGUUGUCAUCAUCUGAAUCAUCGGGGUCGUCGGGAUCGGAUUGGCCCUCGGGCUUGUUCGGGAGCUCCGAGGUUGUCGGGGGUCCUCUGGGGUUGUAUUUUCCCCGGUGCCAUCUAUGGCCCCACUUACUUUGUUUGCCUUGGCUUGUUUACGCUACCUCUGGCGCUUUGAUUGCUUUUCCCUAGACUUAUCGUCAUUUUGUUUGGGGGUAUGAUCGCCAUUGUCGUCGGGUGUGUCCACCAUGUAGACGUCGUAAGUGGAGGUGGCAGCCCACCGCCCGGUAUUUACAGGGGCGGGGUCACCGGCCACAUCAUCCAUGUCUUCAACCUCCUCGAAGGCGUAAUCCAACAUGUCGGUUAAGACUUCGACGGUGGCAACCAAGUGGGUGGUGGGUGGGCUGUGAACUUCCUCAUAAUCCGCAUCCAAACUGAUCCGACUAUAGGUCGGGCUCGGGCCAUCCAUAGUUUUCAAUGACUGGAUCUGGUCAAGCGUCUCAUUUAACAUCGAGAGGUUGUCCUGGUCGAUUUCUUGAUGAUUUUAGGAGUUGACCUCCGUUUCUUCCGUGAGGGACGGGUAUUCAGGAAUGGCUGUUGCCUGGGUACUGAGAUUGGGUCCGGGCUCAAAGACAACUCUCUGACAAAGAGGGAACCGAGGUCAUGGCCGGGCAAGAGACCCGAAGUCAAGGCUUCAGGAUUUUGGGGUUCAUCGCACGAAGCCAUGAUCUUAGCAGGGAAAAGAUCUCCCGAGGAGUCGCUCAAGAAUUCAAGAUUCUCGAACCUUAUCUCCUGACUGGGGACGAAGCCUCCGAUCUAGCCAAGGCGGCCGAUCGGGUCGGCGCGCAGCGUGACGCUGCCGAACGCGAGAACCUGCCUUGGAACAAAGAUGUCCCUGUUUCCAAUUCGAUCGCUGAUGAUUACACGAGCCAUCAAUCCUUCCGGUGAACUAACAGGAGAACUCUCAAUGAAAGCACCAUUGUCGGUGUCAAAACUGGCGGAUCUCGGGUAGGGGCUCCUGAGAUGUGAACCUUGUAUGGAUGGGUUACACGGCACAAAGAGGACAAUGUUUACCCAGGUUCGGGCCCUCUUGAGGAGGUAAAACUCUAUGUCCUCCAUGAUUAUAUUGAUAUGUAUGAGGAUUAAAGAGUUGACCUACCUUGAGAUCGUAUGAGCUAAAACCCUAGAUGAGUCAACUUGUCUAUGAGGAUGAAACCCACUUGUUUAUAUAGACACCACGGGUUCCUCGGGUUAUAUACAACCGACCUCCAGCCGGGGAUAGAUGCGUCGAUCUGGAGUACUCAACUUGGAUGACACACCAGUCUUCGGAGCUUUCCUUCUUGAACACGAGGUCGUCACGUAGUCCGGUCUUCAACAAUAAGGCCCAUUAGGUCGGCCUCUAAUAAAUGAAUCGACCGCCCGAGGACUCCUUAGUCCCGGACUCCCCCAGUGGUGCCUAGUGGGGAGCCCUUAAGUCGGAUGAGGAUCUUCUUCGGGCACAAGAAAGCUAAUUUACGGAUAAAUUCCCUCAAAAUUCCAGCACGAUCGGAGUUAAGGAUCUCCAAGAAUUUAAGAAACAGUGAAGGGCAAGAAAACGAGAACGCCAAACAGAACAGAACAGAGAGGGAGAUCCAAUAUCAGAGGGGCUCUUGCCCCUCUGCAGCCAUGGAGGCCAUGGACCAGAGGGAGAACUCUCCUCCCAUCUAGGGGGGGCAAGGAAGAGGAGGGAGGGGGCUCUCAACCCCUCUCUUACGGUGGCACCGGAGUGCCACCGGGGCAAGGAGUGUGACGAUGAUCUACAUCAGCAAGCUUGCCGCCGUCAACACCAACUCCCCCCUCUAUGCAGCGGUGUAAGACCUCUUUUCCCGAUGUAACUCUCUAUUUAAACAUGGUGCUCAACACUACAUACUAUUUGCCAAUGAUACGUGGCUAUUCUAUAAUGUUUGAAUAGAUCCGUUUUGUCCUGCGGGUUAAUUGUGAUAUGAUUUUAUUGUGUUUAUAUGAUGUUGUCCUAAGGUGCCUUCUGUGAGGCGCACACGCGAAGGAUACAUGCUGGAGGGUUUGCAUUAUGUUCAUGAUUCGCUUAUAGUGGGUGGCGAGAGUGACAGAAACUUACAACCGAGUAAGGGAGUUGUCCGCACAUGGGAGUAAAGAGGACUUGAUGUUUAAUGCUAUGGUUGGGUUUACCUUAACGAUUUCUAGUAGUUGUGGAUGCUUGCUAGAGGUCUAAUCAUAAGUGCAUAUGAUCCAAGUACGGAAAGUGUGUUAGCAUAUGCCUCUCCCUCAUUGCACAUGAUAAGUAUCUAUCAUGUUAGAGGUCCAAUCAUAGUUUCAUACUUGUUCUAGGUAAAGUAAGUGUUUGCACGCAUAGAGUUGUAUCGAUGGUCGAUACAACUUGAGAGAAUAUUAGUUCUACCUUUAGCUCCUUGUUGGGUUCGACACUCUUGCUUAUCAAAAAGGGCUACAAACGAUUCCCUACACUUGUGGGUUAUCAGUGAGUAUCCUGGCGACACGAAGGCGAGCACAUGACUGGUGGCGACCUCGAUGAUCGCUCGGGUCAGAGAUGCCUGUGGCAUGGUCUCAUGUCCGUCCUCGUCAAGGACAAUGAUGUCGUUCCCCGGAGGUGGAAUUUCUUCAACAUGUGCGAUGGGGUCAAUGUGCAACAUUUCUACUUACGAACUGGCAUGCAUCCAGUCGGUCACCACCGGCACGAGAGGCAUGAAGUACAGCGCAGCUGGCUCAAGGGCCUGCACCGACAGUUGCAUGAAGGGUUGCAUAACCGGCUCUAGGGCCUGCAAUGGCAUGCUCUCAACACUAAUUUGGUGGUGGUAACAAUGACCUCGGUGACGCUGGUUCCAACCUCCAUCGAAGAGGCGAAGGUCGCACACUCGAUACUAGAAGCGGCGGAGUCUGCCAACACCAUGGCGGAGGUGGUGAGCAACGAAACGGCGGCAACGGUCAUCAUUAUGAAGAAGGCGAAGAAACGGAGAAAUCAUCUUUCGCCUCUAGUUCAUGUCGAUCUUGUUCUCUGCCGGGAAGAUUUUUCUCUAUUGAAAAGUGAUGUGUGUGAUAAUGUGCUAAAAGAAACAAAGAGCAAACUAGAGACAAAUAAAAAGAAUGAACAUAUGUAAUAUUUAUUGAUCAUGUUCAUGUAUACAUGCAAUCGGCACGAAAGCAUCCAAGAGAUGCGUCCAUUGGUGAAGGCGUCAAUCGAAAGGAGCAACCGACGCACAAUUGCAAAAAAUGGCAACCACACACAUGUUGCGGGAAUGUAGGGAUUCCUCUAACUAACCAUUGAGGUUAAUUUGGCUUAACACUCUGAAUUGCAUCACGUUUCUACCAUUAUUGUGCCGAAGUGCUAGGAUUUUGUCGUGGUUGUUCUCACAGUGAGGGUGCUCCUACUUGGCAAGGUACUAAGACUUGUUUCUUUUGCCUACAUGACAAGUCUAUUAAACACCUAUGUUAACUUUGAUGGUAGGUUUAAUCAUGCAACAUAGGCCAUAAAUCAAAUAGAUUCAAAACCUUACACCUCCCCCAUGUAGUGUGUGUAAUAUGUUCGACAACUCGCGACGGGGUGCCGACAAACAUUUUUCUGCAUGUAUUCUUGUGGGACUGCCAACAUUUAUGUUGGACUUUUGUUUCAUCAUGGAUGUCCAUGUAAUCUUCAGAUAAGAUCUAACCCAUCUUCCCAUGCAAGUAUCUCGGCCUUUCACUAUCCAUAAGGAAGCUCACGACGGCACAAUAUCAAGGCCUUGUGGAUCAUCUCGUAGCGCGCCUACCAUCUUGGAAGUCAGCAGGCCUUCCCAAGAGCGAUCACUUAUUGCUGGUACAAUCCGUUCUCUCGACAAUCCUGAUCCACUCAAUGUUGGCCCUUGAUCUGGCUCUAAAGACUUUGGUUGCCCUAAUCAAGAUAUGCCGCAAAUUCCUUUGGGUCGGCAAGGCAGAUGCGCGAGGAGGUGCAUGUGCGAUGGCCUGGGAGAGAGUGUGCACUCCUAGGUGCGUCAGACGCCUAGGUAUCCUUGACAUGUGAUGGAUGAAUGUGGCCCUUCGGGCCAAGUGGUUGUGGUUGAGUAGGUCUGACCAGGAUAAGCCUUGGUCGGAGUUCGCUUUCUCUGUGCCAAAGGAGUCCCGACAGUUAUUCCUGGCAGCGGUGCGAGGAGUCGUUGGCGAUGGGAGGAAUACAUUAUUCUGGGAGGGUAGAUGGCUUAGUGGUUACCGGAUGCAGGAGCUUGCGCCACGGAUUUGCGAGCAGAUUCCAGUAAGAACGAGGAGGUCAAGAACGGUGUAUGAGGCAAUCGUUGAGGAGAGAUAGGCCCGAGAUAUUGGGCCAGCGCUAGGCGAGGCAACCCUUGCGAAGUACCUGGGUAUCUGGCCCGGGGUUGCGGUGGUCUAGCUGGACGAGCAAUGUGAUGAUCGUUUCAUCUGGUUCUGUGAGAAGAACAAGAAGUUUUCGGCCAAAUCUGCCUAUGCAGCCAAGUUUGCAGGGCGAGAAGUCUCGCCCAUCUUGGAAUUCACAUGGCACUCACGGACCUCGCUUAGGUACAUAUUAAUUCUUCUCAUGGCUAGCAAUCAUGAACUGGUGCUGGACUUCAGAUAGAUUGGCACGAAGAGGCAGCCACACCAACACUCGUGCCCUUUUUGCAAUCAGCAUGAUGAGACGAUUGGCCAUCUACUUAUCGAGUGUCCUCUCCCACGGGAGGUAUGGGCAAAGUUCUUCUCCGCCCAAGGUAUUCUGCAUGGCGAGCCGCAACUAGGAGAGACACUGCACGGCUGAUACACUAGGCAGGGUAUGCAGGGAAAAAGUGCCAAGAUGGUUUGGACCAUAUGCCCCCUUGCCAUGUGGGAAAUAUGGAAGCAUAGAAAUGCCAUAGUCUUUGACGGAGAGAUGGCCUGCCCACGACAUGUUCUACGCUGGACCGCGAGUUAUAGCAUGGUGUGGAUGCAGACGGCUCUACUUCGAGGAAACCUGCAGGCAUUCUUCGUGGCAGCGCUGGAAUGGGCGCAUAGUGAGUAGUGUGUAUAACAUACUUGAGGUGGAGGGCGGCGUAACGCCAUGUAACCCCUGAUGUAACUAAACUGCGGAGGGCUCCCCCCUCUCCUUCCUUCUAUAAUAUAUGAUACGCACACUCGUGCGUAUUCGAUGAAAAAAGAAUCUAACCCAUCUUAGGCUGAUUUUUUUUUCUGCGAAACAAUAUUUUCUUUUGGUUAUGUUAAUAGUCUUAACUGUGUGCAUCAUCACGUUUUGCAGCAGUCAGACAUUUGUUCAAUGUGAUUGUAUCACCUUGAUAUAUCGAUUGAAUGAAAUUGUCUUUUAUUAGUAAAAAAUAGUUGUAUUGAAGUCAUCAUAACUUAAUCCCAUGGGGUAGAUGGUUAAAUGUUUUCACUUAACAAAAUAAUUUCUAGUGUGCCCAUAACUAGUGUAAUAGAUGGACAGAAAUAAAUAGACUGGAAAUGCCAUGAACAAGCCAUGAAUAGAAAAGGUUGGGUUUAUCUACAUCAGUUAUCAGUUUAGUGUGUUCUAUGUACUUGACAAUCCAAGAAUUAGCAAUAGAGCCCUCUGUAUUAAGAGUAUAUUUCAGUCAGUCCUCAACUGCUGUCCAUGUUAUUUACUAGUUCCGGUAGUGAUCUUAAGCAUCGUCUAUAAACUAUUACUUAGUCUAGACGUCCCUAUAGAGACCUAUCGGACAUCAAAGAAAAUCCAUUUUAAAGGAUACGCGGAUAGACUCGGUAAACCGCCGACAAUGAAGUGGCACCAACAAAUAUUUUAGUUUUAUAAAUCUGAAAGGAAUGUAUCUUUUCGAUAAAGGUCUGAAAAAGAAAAUAGGUACCUAUACUCAUCCAUGCAUAGGCAAGAAGUUUUCUUUAUGUGAAGCAUAUCUCUGAAAGGGCUUAUAAUAAUUUUGCUUGUGCACCUCAUACAACUCUACCUAAUAUAUACAUAUUCUCAAAUUUGUAAGAUAUCACUGACUUCUCUCAACCAUUGAAUAGGUCAUCAUUUUUCUUAACUUGCACGCAAUGUCCACGAAUUGAGUAAGCAUAUGCAUAACUAAGAGUCUACGCUGUUUCAUGGAGCCUAUCACAAACGACUGAAUGUUUAGUGGAAAAAUCUCUUGGGUGGAAUCCUAAACCCCUUGAAAAAUAUACUGAAAAAUAUAAUGGCAAUCACCAUGGGGCGUCGGCAGAUCACAGUCAUUAUAAUAACCGCUUGUACACCCAAAUACAACUCUACCUGGUAUAUGCAUAUUCUCAAAUUCGUAAUAUAUCACUGACUUCCCCACCGUCGAAUAGGUCACCAUUUUUCUUAACGUGCACACAAUGUCCAUGAAUUGAGUAAGUGUAUGGGUAACUAAGAGACCGCACUGUUACACAUAGCUUAAUCACAAACGGCUAAAUAUUUAUUGGGAAAAUCUCUUGGGUGGAACCCUAAACCCCUUGAAAAUCUAUUAUAUAAUUAAAACAAAAGACAAACAAGCCAUAUGUGUUCCCAUACAUUGAAUUAUCUUGACCGUAUUUUUAAAUAAUAACACAUGUGAUUUAAAAUAUGUAUUGUUACAUAUAAAUUUUAUCAUGAGCAAACAGUUUAUAGUGUCACGUAGCUCAUACUAAUAGUUCAAUAUGUCUCGAGUUCUUAAAGAAAAACUGGCAUGUCACUAGAAAUCAGUCUGAUACCUUAGGAUCUUUUUUUGCGGGUAAAACUGGGAAGCUUUAUUCAACACACAUCAUCCGGGCAUGAUCUUCGAGGAGACUAGUUAGAAGAAUAAUAGGACUAGAGUUCAACCAGCAAUCCGUUACCUCCAAUGUGCUAGCUUGCUUAGAACAUAAGUGGGCACACGUGCUAGCUGAUUUUGCAACAUUUUGAAUGAAAUACAAACUAAACAGUAAGGCGAGCUCUCCAUCUUAGUUAAGAUAUGCGUCAGCACAGUCCGAGUAUUGAGGCACGAAUACCAGAGAUUGACAAUCUUCAAACAAUCUGUCGCCACAACGACCUUCUCGUGACCCCGAAGCUUUGAAAAGAGGACCCCGUCUCGAACAGCCAAAGCUUCAGCGACAAACGGAUCGCUAAAACCAGGGUACGGUUUAGACCAAGCAGGCAUGAAGGAGGAACAGGCUCGGACAACACCACCCACCCCACCCACCCCUGCUAGCCUCCAUAGCGUGCUUCCAUCUGUAUUGAUCUUCAUGAUUCCUUAGGUUGAUAUAGAAAAUAAGAAGUACCUUACCUUGAAUUGGCAAAGCAUGACAACCAAGAGUAUUCGGCAGCCAAGUCCAAUUUAGAAAGAAAGAGAAAAAACUACCUUAUGUAGGGAGGAGCACCAAGUGAACUACCUUAUGUAGGGAUGAGUCAUGAGCAAACACCCCUACCCCACAACAAAGAAGUGUCCGCAUCUCAAAAAAUUAGGAGUGUCCCAGCAAAAUAUGCGUGCUAAUCUCUCUAGGGAAAAAGAGAAGACGUGUGUGCUCCUCCUUUUUCUGCGGACACAAAAAAAAAAGUACGGAGUCCUGCUUAGUUCACUUAGUGCUCCAGUACUUGGGGAUAAGAAAUCUUUCUCUACGCAGAUUGAAGAAUAUAUCUCAUAAAAAAUGAAAAUUAGUUGUUUAUACAUAUACUAAAUCGUGGAUGAAAAAAUGAGGCGACAUACCUGAUUGGCAUAAUACAUUUUUUUAUGCUAAAUUAGUUCUGCACUAUGAUAUUAGCUGUAUUAAAUCAUGGAUGGACAACUGAGACACGAAAUACGAAAUACAUAAAGAUAAAAGUGCCAGCAUUUUAUAUUCUUUCUCUCAAAAAGUUACUGAUAACCAUAGUGGCUGUUCUAAUUUGAAUCGCUGAGAUCCAAAAAUAAAUAGAAAGAAAUCAUGCUUGCAAGUGAUUCAGUAUAAAUUAAGUAUUCCUCAUGAAAAAAUAAUACGUCAUGAGAAAGACCACGUGAGAGCAUCUGCAGUGAAAUGCAUAAGAAAAAUAAUGCACGUGAAAGCAUCUGUAGUGAACCUAUUUACAAAAAUUGACCACUAACAUAUGCAAAAGUAUCCGGGUUGGACAAUUAAAAAUAACAAAGAACGUUGUACUGACUACAUAAUAAUAAUUAUUCACUAGUGGGGACAGGGUCUAUAGUCCCGGCCCGUAAGGGGCUUUAGUCCCGGUUCACCAACCGGGACCAAAGAGGCGGAACUAAAGGCCUAACCUUUAGUCCCGGCCCUGUUCCAAGCCGGGACCAAAGGUGCUCCAUGUGGGCGCCUCGGAGCGCCCUCACGGGCAGGCCCUUUAGUCCCGGGUCUUAACACGGACCGGGACUAAAGAGUUUCUUCAGAUUUUGUUUGUUUUAGGGUUUUAGGGUUUUAGGGUUUAGGUGUUCGGGAGAUUAACGUGAUGCCUCGUUUGGCAUUCGGGAAUUAGUUUUCAUAUAAUUCUAAAUAUACAUGUUUAUGUAUAUAUAUAAGAUUAACUUAUCUUACAAGCGAGCAUAUAUAUACAAUUAUAUGGAGAUCUGAAUUAUCGGGACUAGAGCCCGUUUAUUUAAUUCCAUGGACCAACAUCAGUAAUGGCCCCUAGCUACACUAAAUCAUCCUUUGUCAUCUAUAGCUUCCGUCCUCAGAAAGGUCGCAAGCUCCUCUACAACAGCAAUCGCGCGUUGCUCUGGUAGGUACUUCUCCCUCAUGGCCGUGUACUAUAUAAGAAGAGGAGAUGAAUAUGAAUAUCAAUAAUGAUAACAAAGAAUGGCGGGUAAAAAUAGAGGUGUGAAUGUUCAUUGCUUACGUCGUAUCUAUAAUCCUUGUGCUCAGAGGUAAACGUGCGAAUGGUCUCGCAAACAUAGUAUCCGCAUAGAUGCGUCCCCCGUGGCUGCUGGUCGCACUUUACGAGAAUAGAAUAUAAAUAAUCAAAAUAAUAAUCUAGCAUCAUAAAUGUAUUGAAAAUAGAAGUAUAUCAUACUACUACUUACCUGAGGCGCUCUAAAGGUCAGCUUCUCAUGCUCGAUACCGGGAGUCACACACUUGAACCGCUUCCAAACCCUGUCCGACAAGGAAAAUGAUUUGCUAAGUUUUUCAUUAAUUGAUAUAUCAUAAAAUCAUCGAAAGAGACCGAUAGAGCGCAAGAAUGAUUGAAAUUACCCUUGGAGCAUUUCCUGCAGGCUUUGGAACUGUUCGAAGGGUCUCGAUAAUGGGUCGAAGGCAUCAACUCUUCCCUUAUCAAUUUGAAUGUCCAACAGAAUCCAAUGGUAGCUACACAUGUAUAUAUAUAUACAUGUGUAGCUACCAUUGGAUUCUGUUGGACAUUCAAAUUGAUAAGGGAAGAGUUGAUGCCUUCGACCCAUUAUCGAGACCCUUCGAACAGUUCCAAAGCCUGCAGGAAAUGCUCCAAGGGUAAUUUCAAUCAUUCUUGCGCUCUAUCGGUCUCUUUCGAUGAUUUUAUGAUAUAUCAAUUAAUGAAAAACUUAGCAAAUCAUUUUCCUUGUCGGACAGGGUUUGGAAGCGGUUCAAGUGUGUGACUCCCGGUAUCGAGCAUGAGAAGCUGANNNNNNNNNNNNNNNNNNNNNNNNNNNNNNNNNNNNNNNNNNNNNNNNNNNNNNNNNNNNNNNNNNNNNNNNNNNNNNNNNNNNNNNNNNNNNNNNNNNNNNNNNNNNNNNNNNNNNNNNNNNNNNNNNNNNNNNNNNNNNNNNNNNNNNNNNNNNNNNNNNNNNNNNNNNNNNNNNNNNNNNNNNNNNNNNNNNNNNNNNNNNNNNNNNNNNNNNNNNNNNNNNNNNNNNNNNNNNNNNNNNNNNNNNNNNNNNNNNNNNNNNNNNNNNNNNNNNNNNNNNNNNNNNNNNNNNNNNNNNNNNNNNNNNNNNNNNNNNNNNNNNNNNNNNNNNNNNNNNNNNNNNNNNNNNNNNNNNNNNNNNNNNNNNNNNNNNNNNNNNNNNNNNNNNNNNNNNNNNNNNNNNNNNNNNNNNNNNNNNNNNNNNNNNNNNNNNNNNNNNNNNNNNNNNNNNNNNNNNNNNNNNNNNNNNNNNNNNNNNNNNNNNNNNNNNNNNNNNNNNNNNNNNNNNNNNNNNNNNNNNNNNNNNNNNNNNNNNNNNNNNNNNNNNNNNNNNNNNNNNNNNNNNNNNNNNNNNNNNNNNNNNNNNNNNNNNNNNNNNNNNNNNNNNNNNNNNNNNNNNNNNNNNNNNNNNNNNNNNNNNNNNNNNNNNNNNNNNNNNNNNNNNNNNNNNNNNNNNNNNNNNNNNNNNNNNNNNNNNNNNNNNNNNNNNNNNNNNNNNNNNNNNNNNNNNNNNNNNNNNNNNNNNNNNNNNNNNNNNNNNNNNNNNNNNNNNNNNNNNNNNNNNNNNNNNNNNNNNNNNNNNNNNNNNNNNNNNNNNNNNNNNNNNNNNNNNNNNNNNNNNNNNNNNNNNNNNNNNNNNNNNNNNNNNNNNNNNNNNNNNNNNNNNNNNNNNNNNNNNNNNNNNNNNNNNNNNNNNNNNNNNNNNNNNNNNNNNNNNNNNNNNNNNNNNNNNNNNNNNNNNNNNNNNNNNNNNNNNNNNNNNNNNNNNNNNNNNNNNNNNNNNNNNNNNNNNNNNNNNNNNNNNNNNNNNNNNNNNNNNNNNNNNNNNNNNNNNNNNNNNNNNNNNNNNNNNNNNNNNNNNNNNNNNNNNNNNNNNNNNNNNNNNNNNNNNNNNNNNNNNNNNNNNNNNNNNNNNNNNNNNNNNNNNNNNNNNNNNNNNNNNNNNNNNNNNNNNNNNNNNNNNNNNNNNNNNNNNNNNNNNNNNNNNNNNNNNNNNNNNNNNNNNNNNNNNNNNNNNNNNNNNNNNNNNNNNNNNNNNNNNNNNNNNNNNNNNNNNNNNNNNNNNNNNNNNNNNNNNNNNNNNNNNNNNNNNNNNNNNNNNNNNNNNNNNNNNNNNNNNNNNNNNNNNNNNNNNNNNNNNNNNNNNNNNNNNNNNNNNNNNNNNNNNNNNNNNNNNNNNNNNNNNNNNNNNNNNNNNNNNNNNNNNNNNNNNNNNNNNNNNNNNNNNNNNNNNNNNNNNNNNNNNNNNNNNNNNNNNNNNNNNNNNNNNNNNNNNNNNNNNNNNNNNNNNNNNNNNNNNNNNNNNNNNNNNNNNNNNNNNNNNNNNNNNNNNNNNNNNNNNNNNNNNNNNNNNNNNNNNNNNNNNNNNNNNNNNNNNNNNNNNNNNNNNNNNNNNNNNNNNNNNNNNNNNNNNNNNNNNNNNNNNNNNNNNNNNNNNNNNNNNNNNNNNNNNNNNNNNNNNNNNCUCAUGCUCGAUACCGGGAGUCACACACUUGAACCGCUUCCAAACCCUGUCCGACAAGGAAAAUGAUUUGCUAAGUUUUUCAUUAAUUGAUAUAUCAUAAAAUCAUCGAAAGAGACCGAUAGAGCGCAAGAAUGAUUGAAAUUACCCUUGGAGCAUUUCCUGCAGGCUUUGGAACUGUUCGAAGGGUCUCGAUAAUGGGUCGAAGGCAUCAACUCUUCCCUUAUCAAUUUGAAUGUCCAACAGAAUCCAAUGGUAGCUACACAUGUAUAUAUAUAUAUAUAUGUGUGUGUGUCAAUAACUUAUCAAUUACACUUAUAAGUGAAUGGACACAACAGAGUAAAGACCCUCACUUGAAGUUGUAUGGAAACAGUAUGUGGUCACAGAAAUUUUGACCUGUUAGAAACCUUAGAAGGUUUUCCUCCGUCUCCUUGGGUUUAUCAGUUAGCGUCGCUAUAUUUAUUUUAUCUAGGUCAAUAAACCCAAUAUUUAGGAUGUUCCUACUUUUACAUUCCAGAAUCUUCAUUCUGCAUAAUAGAGUACAAGUUAUAUGUAGACAAUAAAUUAAAAUAACUAAACAAGUUAUAUGUAGACAACGAAUUGAAAAACUUACACACAAUAGCAACUCAUAAGCGAUUUGUCGAGGGCGUCGGCAUUGUACAUCUCGAAGAGUUCAUCAAAGUCGAUAUGGAUUUCUUCGGGGCGGCCGUAGCACUCCCGUGGGACACGCGCCACGAUCAUCGUUCUCCCAUUCUUUGAUUCACUUAAGUACCAUGUAUGCAAGUAACGCAUAUUUGUUGGGAGAUCAUCAAACUUAUCUUUGCUAACCAAAGGCGCUCCCAUGACAAACUGUGGCAUAGGGGCCACCAUAGCCUUGGGUAACCUGUCGUCUUGGGAAGCCAGAACGUCUUCAACCGGGAUACCCCAUUCAUCCGCCCACUUCUUUGCUAAUUCCAAAUCUUUCCCCUGCACCAGAGAGGGAACAUUCUCGGGUAACACCCUCAGGGGUAGGAUCGACUAUUUGGCCUGUUGUCCAAGCUGAGGAACGUCUGAUCUUUUUUUGCUUGUAGUUGAACUUGAUUUGCUCCCACUUGCACUUGCACGUGAUCUGCUCUUUUUCCCUUCCUUCUGCAAUGUGCGUGUAUAGUCAUCAGGCUUAUGGUGUAAGUCAUACUGUGAUGGAAGGGUCGUGAAGUAUUUUGCAUAUGUUAUUUGCUUCUCGGUGUAUUCCGGGCGGGGCUCGGGUUCCUUCUUUUUCAUCUGCGCAUCAUAAUGUACCUUUGCUAUCCUGGCAUUUUCCUCGUCGGUAUGAUCAUAAGGUCUGAUAGGAAGAUUAGCAUGAGGUACCUUUGGGAGGGGCGACAGUUUGGGCUUUGGGGAGCUCCAUCGCUUAGAACUCAUCGACGGAGCGUUCUUGCUGGCACGCUUCCGCUUAGUAUCCUUAGCGGGCGGCGGCGGAGACGGACGACCCAAGUCCGGCGGCGGUGAUCGAGAUGGACUCGUGUUGUGCUGGCCAUCGUCAUGUGGAGGGCUUGGAGGUGAUGGAGGUGUAGGUGACCUGCGACGACUCGGAGGCGGUGUUGUCCUUGGGGCCGAGCCUGGAAGCUUGAUGUAGUUCUUGUCCCAUAGGAUGACCCCACCCAGUACUUCUCCGAGUGUCCUCUCAUCUUCGGGUCCAGCUAUGUCGAGCUCCAUAUCAUGAAACCCCGCCAUGAUUUCAUCCAUCCCGACUUUAGCAAAGCCAGCUGGAAUCUCACGGCCAUGCCAGCGUGCAUCAGGGCCAGAAGGUAAAGCUUGUCCGAUGGCCACCUUCAUGGAUAUGUUCUUGAAUUUCUGAUGGAGUUCACAUGAUGUUGACUCCUUGAUUCCAUCCACGGGGUAGCCGGGACCGCCCUCUAUCAUUCUUCGUGCAUCGUUGGGCGGGGCCUCAGAUUCAGCCACGCUGCUUUUCCACUUAGAUGGGGCGCCGGUAAUAUCGAGCGCAGGAUCUUCCUGGCGCGCUACUCCUCUAAGCUCAUCAAUCUGCUUCUAUUGCUUGUUAAGCCUGGCAAGCAACUGGUUAAACUUGUCAUUCUCCUCAUCCUGCUGUCGCUUCUUUGCUCUCGCUCGGCUUCUGUAAGUGUCUUGGUCUCUGGGAAACCCAAGCCACCACGGGUAAGAAGGACCGAAGCCUCGCGUUCGUCCUCCAUGUUCGUCAUUGUCGAGGACCACUGUGAGAAAAUCUUUCUCUCUAUCUGCAGUGAACUGUCUUUUUCCCUCCUUAAUUUUUUCACUAUCUUUUUCCAAUUCUCCCUGGGUAUCCUAAGACCGUCACUGCAGAUGAGGUCCCCUGUUUCUUCGUCGUAUGAACCACCAUGCGCAAGGAACCAAUUUCUUGCUCUCAAUUCCCACUCAUCACGGAUGGGUUCAGGUAUGAUGCCUUUAGCUAGCAGAUCUUUCUCUUUCUUAUCCCACUUUCGGAUGGCAGACUCAUAGCCCCCUGGCCCCAGCGUGUGGUGAUAUUUCUUCUUGUCGGCAUUUUUCUUGUUCUUUUUUGAUAAUGCCUUGGCAUCUUCUGACUCCUUGUACUCUUGAAAUGCCUUCCAGUGAUUCGCCUGCUUGGCUAGAUACCCCUCGAAUACUGGCACUUUCUUUGUCUUCCGAUAGUUUUUCAUAGCUUCUUCUUCCAGCUACAGAACAGUUCGACCAUCUUCUUUAGAGUCCACUGCUUGACUUUGGCCAUCAGUUUGUCUGCGGCGUCUUCAUUCUCACAUUCUGACAGGUUGAAAUGUGACAUGAGAUCAUUCCAAAGAUUAUCUUUGUACCUUUCGGUGACAUAGUCACUAUCGGCUGCCCCUUUGCGCUUGUUGCACUCCCGAACGCUGAUCGGGACGUGAUCCCUAACGAGAACUCCGCAUUGCUUCUUGAAUGUGUCAGCAGCAUUCUUAGGAAGCUUGGGUUCGCCCGUAGGCAAUAUCACCUCAAAGGUGUAAUGCAUCCGUGCAUCCAACUUUUUAGUCGGGCCUCGUUUCGUAGCUUUGCUCGAUGUGGAGGCUUAAGAGGGAGAAACAUUCGUCAAAUGAAUGUAUAUGUAUACAAUAUAGAGCUAUCUCCAAUAUUUUUCACAUAUUACAAGUGAUUGUCGAAGUUCAUAUGUAUACCUCGCCGGACUUUAUUAGUUCUCCACCGGCUUCUCCAUCAGUGGAGCUAUCACCUUCUCCAUCAUUGGAGCUAUCUCCUGCCCCAUCGGCUUCAUCUUCGUGUCCGUCGACUUCCAUUCCAUAUCCGGAGGGGUUUAGAUAUGACGACGGAGAUUCAGCUGGUUCAACGUCGGGGCCGUCUUUGAUUAUAUCUUCGAGAAGUUCUUCCUCUUCGAGGUUCCUAAUAUGUGGAUCCAUAGUUCUGCAAAAAACGAACAUUUGGUUAACUAAUAAACUAACAAACUAUAUAUGAUGCAAAAUAAUUCUAUUUCUAUUUGCAAAUAAAUUCUAACUAAAUAAUUCUAAGUAAAAUAAUUCUAUCUCUAUUUGCAAAUAAAUUCUAACUAAAUAAUUCUAACUAAAAUAAUUCUAUUUCUAUUUGCAAAUAAAUUCUAACUAAAUAAUUCAUGACUUCAUCAUUACCUAGUAGUAAUAGGAGCAUGAUGCUAUGAAGCUUUAUAAAGUUGUUUUGUAACGGAAUCCCGAAUAGGAUAAUUAGCUUUGUGGUACGCAGUUCAAAAAGAGCCAUCCGAAUAUCGCUAUUUGGAAGGACUUUGUUGAACUUUGUACCAAAAAAGAAUUAUUCUAUUAGGAACUCCGUUCCAAAACAACUUUCGAGAGGUUGAUAGCGCCAUGCGUCUGUUACUACCAGGUAAUGAUGAAGCCAUGGACCGACCCUAAACUAACUUACUUAAAUUUACAUAGCCCUAAACUAGCUAACACUAACCUAAUUAACACUAGUUUAUAUGUUUAAUUGAUGUUUGUAGUGAUUUAAGUGAUAUUUGUAGAUUGUAGAUUUGUAUAUGCUUAAACACUAACUGUGACCUAAACUAAAAGGCCCUAAACUAACUUACUAAAAUUUACAUAACCCUAAACUAACAAUAACCUAUUAAUUAACACUAACUACCUAACCCUAAUAACACAAAUUUAAAUGACACAAAAAUAACACAAAUAACCUAUUUAACACUAACCUACCUAACCCUAAAUUCACCAAAUAUUCUACAAAUAACACUUAAGCAUAUACAAUAGCAAAAUUAAGCAAUAAUCUAAAAAACACUAAUUAAGCAUCUAUAUAUGUACAAAAUUACAUAAGCAUGCAUGCAUGUUGACGAUCGAUCAAGAGAGGAGAGGAGAGAGGCUCACCAGCGGCAGGGGGUGUUGGAUCGAGGAGGAAGGGAGGGCGACGACGACGGCGAGGAGGACGGCAAGGCGACGACGAUGGCGAGGAGGACGGCAGGGCGCGACGACGAGGAGGACGGCAGGGCGACGGCGACGGCGACAACAAGGAGGACGGCAGGGCNNNNNNNNNNNNNNNNNNNNNNNNNNNNNNNNNNNNNNNNNNNNNNNNNNNNNNNNNNNNNNNNNNNNNNNNNNNNNNNNNNNNNGGUGUCGAGCAGUUCGUCCGAUGCUGCAGGCGAGCGAGAGGAGGAAGAAAGAUUGAAAUGGCGAUUUGGGUUGGAAAUUUCCAACUCCCGCUUAUAUAGGUGGAGCUUUAGUCCCGGGUCGGGGCUCGAACCGGGACUAAAGACACCCUUUUUGGCAGGCGAGGAGGCGGGAAACGAGGGGCUUUAGUCCCGGGUCGGGGCUCGAACCGGGACUAAAGGCUGUGUUUAGUCCCAGGUCUAGCCACGACCCGGGGCUAAAGACCCCUUUUCGGCAGGCGAGGAGGCGGGAAACGAGGGGCUUUAGUCCCGGGUCGUGGCUCCACCAGGGACUUAAGGUGGUCUUUAGUCCCGGUUCGAGCCCCGAACCGGGACUAAAGACCUGGGCUGGCUUCGGGGUGACGCAGGGCAACCUUUAGUCCCACCUCACCUAGCGAGGGGCGCUGGCAGUGCUUUAUAAGCACUCUCGCACUUUGCUCAAUUGAGCUUCUCUCUAUUGAAGGCAUGUGGGCCUAACUCUCAUCUCGCUGUCUGUUGGUCCUAUUGGCCCCCGGACCUUCAUCCUGGCCCACCUGUCGGGUAGGGUUUCUAGUCGUAUGCAGGUCGUGAUGACCCAAUAGGCGGCAUUUGUUUUUUUACUUUAAUAAUUUUUAGUCCUAGUUUAUAUUUUAAUUCUUUGCUAUUCAAUAUUUUUUUCUCUUCUAUUUUAGUUUUCUAUUGAGUUGAUUUGUUUUUGUUUCUUUUAGUUAAUGUUUUACUUGAUUCUUUCUAACAAAUAAGCACUUUGAAAAUUUUAGUAAAUUAUUCUUAAUUCAUUCAUUUUAGUUAAUGUUUUAGUUGAUUCUUUUUAGUUGACUCUUUUUUUGUUUUCUAUUAAAUAUUUUAACAAAAAAACUUUAUGAAAUUUCUGACUUCAUUUGAUAUUUUUUGUGCAUUUACUUAUUCUUUUGAGCUAGUUGACCCUGAAAUGGAAAAACACUACAAAUGAACUCUAAAAAUGUUGAAAGUUGGCAUGGUAUCAUCAUUUCACCCACAUAGCAUGUGCUAAAAGGUUGAGAGGGUUACGGCAAAAAUUGGAUACACUUCGUGUGCAAAACGGACAAUAUCUCUCGAAGUAUCAUGGUUUCGAACAAGAACUCAUCUAUUACAAAGUGAUUUCAUUUUUUUGAACUUAUUUGAACUCCAUACUUUUUGUGUGUUCAAAAUGCACCAUUCAAACGCACAUCACAAACUUUCAACAAUUUCUGACUUCAUUUGGUAUUUUUCGUGCAUUUACUUUUUUUUAGCUAGUUGACCCUGAAAUUGAAAAACACUACAAAUGAACUCUGUGUUGAAAGUUGGCAUGGUAUCAUCAUUUCAUGCACAUUCCAUGUGCUAAGAAGUUGAGAGGGUUACGACAAAAACUGGAUACACUUCGUGUACAAAACGGACAAUCUCUCUUGAUGUAUCAGCAUCUCGAACGUGAACUCAUCUGUUACAAAGGGAUUUCAUUUUUUUGAACUUACUUGAACUCCAUACUUUUUGUGUGUUCAAAAUGCACCAUUCAAAGGCACAUCACAAAAUUUCAACAAUUUCUAACUUCAUUUGGUAUUUUUCAUGCAUUUACUUAUUUUUUUGAGCUAGUUGACCAUAAAAUUGAAAAGCACUACAAAUGAACUCUAAAAAUGUGGAAAGUUGGAAUGGUAUCAUAAUUUCACCCACAUAGCAUGUGCUAAAAAGUGGAGAGGGUUACGAUAAAAACUGGAUGCACUUCGUGUACAAAACAGACAAUCUCUCUCGAAGUAUGAGGGUUUCGAACGAGAACUCAUCUAUUACAAAGGGAUUUCAUUUUUUGAACUUAUUUGAACUCCAUACUUAUUGUGUGUUUAAAAUGCACCAUUCAAAGGCACAUCAAAAAAUUUCAACAAUUUCUGACUUAAUUUGGUAUUUUUCGUGCACUUACUUUUGUUUUUUUGGGCUAGUUGACCCUAAAAUUGAAAAGCACUACAAAUGAACUCUGAAAAUGUUGAAAAUUGGCAUGCUGUCAUCAUUUCACCCACAUAGCAUGUGUUAAAAAGUUGAGAGGGCUACGACAAAAACUGGAUGCAUUUCGUGUACAAAACGGACAAUCUCUCUUGAAGUAUCAGGGUUUCGAACGAGAACUCAUCUCUUACAAAGGGAUUUCAUUUUUUUGAACUUAUUUAAACUCCAUACUUUUUGUGUGUUCAAAAUGCACCACUCAAAGGCACAUCACAAAUUUUCAAUAAUUUCUUACUUCAUUUGGUAUUUUUCGUGCAUUUACUUAUUUUUGUUGAGCUAGUUGACCCUGAAAUUCAAAAGCACUACGAAUGAACUCUCAAAAUGUUGAAACCUGGCAUGGAAUCAUCAUACUGCUCAGGCGGGGACCUUCAUACUACUCAGGCAUUCAAAAAAGAUUUCCUUCUCUGCUUUGGUAAGAGCAUAGCUGCUUAAGUAUUGACGCACUUUAUCAGUCUUCUUGUCGUAUGGGUCUUUCAUACGUUGGUGCUCCUCCCGUGCUUCUGUUGUAUCUUUUGUCUUUCUAUACACUCCCAGGAAGCCUAGCAGGUUCACGCAAAGAUUCUUCUUCACGUGCAUCACGUCGAUUGAAGACCGGACCUCUAGUUGUUUCCAAUAGGGUAGCUCCCAAAAUAAAGAUUUCUUUUUCCACAUGGGCACGUGUCCGGUAAUGUCGUCUUUCGGAACUGAUUGACCGCGAGGACCCUUUCCAAAGAUUACUAUUUGAUCCAAAUCCUUGACCAUAGCCAAUAACUCAUCACAAGUAGGGAGGUUAGGCUUCUUCCGGUGAUCUGCCUCACCGUUGAAAUGCUUGCCUUUCUUUCUUACGGUAUGACUGGUCGGAAGAAAUUGACGACACACCAGGUAGACAACCUUCUUAGAUUUUCCCAAAUAUGUACCUUUACUCUUAUCUAAACAGUGCGUGCAUGCAUUGUAUCCCUUGUUUGAUUGUCCUAAAAUGUUACUAAGAGCAGGCCAAUCAUUGAUGGUUACGAACAACAAUGCUCAUAGGUCAAAUUCCUGUUCUUUGUGCUCAUCCCACACACGUACACCUGGUGGGCCCACAACUGCAAAAGUUCAUCAACUAAUGGCCUUAGGUACACAUCAAUGUCGUCGCAGGGUUGCUUCGGUCCUUUAGUCCCGGUCUGUGGUACGUGCCGGGACUAAAGGCCUAUUUUCUGUUUUCUUAUUUUAUUUGUUUUUGCAUAUUUGAGAAUAUAAAUAGUAAUCUGUUUGCAUAUUUGAGAAUUUGACAAAACUAUGAAAAUGAAAAGUGUUUGAAAUUGAAUAAAUAAUUCAAAACUAUUUUCUAUUUUCAAAAUUAAUUAUUUUGACUAUCCAAACUAUUAACUAUUUUGUAAUUUUCAAUUAAAUACUAUGUUUAUUAAAAUUCUUUUUGCAUAUUUGAGAAUUUGACAAAACUAUGAUAAUAAAAAGUGUUUGAAAUUGAAUAAAUAAUUCAAAACUAAAAGGUUUAGUACAUUCCAUACAUGCAUUACAUAAAAGGUUUAAUACAUUAUUACAUUAUUGCACCAAUAUUCCUACAUAUUAUUUCUGUUUUCUUCUCGGUUAACCAUGGAGAAUCUUCAUCAUUCAGUGGGAUGCUUGGGUCAGUUUUCACUUUGAAGGGCGGAAUUUCAUGAAACUUAUUAUAAUCUACUGACAUGUCUGUCUUGUCAUCUACUCCCACGAUGUUUCUUUUCCCUCAAAGAACUAUGUCGCAUUUUGGCUCAUCGGACGAUAUCUUCUUUUGCUGAUUUCUUUUUAUCGUUUUUGUAGACAUGUCCUUCACAUAGAAAACCUGAGCGACAUCAUUGGCUAGGACAAAUGGUUCGUCCAUGUACGCAAGAUUGUUGAGAUCCACUGUUGUCAUGCCGUACUUUUGGUCUACAACUACCCCGCCUCCUGUCAGCUUCACGCAUUUGCACCGAAACAAAGGGAUCUUAAAAGUAGGUCCAUAGUCAAGUUUCCAUAUCUCCUCUAUGUACCCGUAAUAUGUUUCCAAACAGUGCCAAUUCUCGUCUGUUGCAUCAAAGCGGACACACUAUUUUGGUUGGUGCUCUUUUUAUCUUGGGCAACCGUGUAAAAUGUAUUCCCAUUUAUCUCAUACCCUUGGAAAGUACAUAUAGUCGAAGAUGGUGACCUGGCCAAACAGUACAGUUGAUCUCCAACGGUGUCGUCAUUUAUGAGAUGUAUCUGCAACCAACUUCCGAAAGUCUUCUCGUGUUCCCCUUUAAUCCAAGAGUCAGCCUUCCCCGGGUUUUUAGAGCGUAGAAUAUUCUUGUGUCUCACGAUAUACGGAGCCACCACGGUGGAAUUGUGUAGAACUGUGUAGUGUUCUUGAGAGAAAGAAUGCCCGUCCAUACAUACUUUUGCUUUCCUUCCUAGUGUGCCUUUUCCUGUCAGCCUACCCUCAUACCGAGAUUCAGGAACACCAAUCGGCUUAAGGUCAGGAAGAAAGUCCACACAAAACUCAAUGACCUCCUCUGUUCCAUAGCCCUUGGAGAUGCUUCCUUCUGGCCUAGCACGGUUACGAACAUAUUUCUUUAAGACUCCCAUGAACCUCUCGAAGGGGAACAUAUUGUGUAGAAACACAGGACCGAGAAUUCUAAUCUCUUCGACUAGGUGAACUAGGAGGUGUGUCAUCAUAUUGAAGAAGGAUGGCGGGAACAACAACUCAAAGCUGACCAGACAUUGGACCACAUCAAUCUGUAACCCUGAUAGACUUUCUCGAUCGAUUACCUUAUGAGAAAUUGCAUUGAGGAAUGCACAUACCUUCACAAUUGCCAGGCGAACAUUUUCCGGUAGAAUUCCCCUCAAUGCAAUCGGAAGAAAUUGCGUCAUAAGCACGUGGCAGUCAUGAGACUUUAGGUUUUGAAAGUUUUUGUCUUUCAUAUUUACGAUUCCCUUUAUAUUCGACGAGAAGCCAGUCGGGACCUUGAUGCUGAAAAGGACUUCAAAGAAGAUUUCCUUCUCUUCCUUAGUAAGAGCGUAGCUGGCACGCCCUUGAAACUGCCCUGGAUGCAUGCCAUCUCUUCCUUUAUGACGUUCCUGGUCCUCCCGUGCUUCCGGUGUAUCGUCUUUUGACUUCCCAUACAAGCCCAGGAAGCCUAGAAUAUUCACACAGAGAUUCUACGUCAGGUGCAUCACGUCGAUUGCCGAGCGGACCUCAUGGACUUUCCAGUAGGGUAGCUCCCAAAAUAUAGAUUUCUUCUUCCACGUGGGUACGCGCUUAUCAGGGCCGUUAGGAACAGGUUGGCUGCCAGGACCCUUUCCAAAGAUUACUUUUAAAUCUUUGACCAUAUCAAAUACUUCAGCACUAGUACGGAUGACAGGCUUCCCCCGGGGUUCUGCCUUGCCAUUGAAAUGCUUGCCUUUUUUCUUUAAGGGAUGCUUGGGCGGAAGAAAACGACGAUUUUACGGGUACACAUUCUUCCUACAUUUGUCCAGAUAUAUACUUUCUGUCUGAUCCAAACAGUGCGUGCAUGCAUUGUAUCCCUUGUUUGAGUGUCCUGAAAUGUUACUAAGAGCAGGCCAAUCAUUGAUGGUUACGAAAAGCAACGCUCGAAGGUCAAAUUCCUCUUGUUUGUGCUCGUCCCACACACGUACACCUGGUUCGGCCCACAGCUGUAAAAGUUCAUCAACUAAUGGCCUUAGGUACACAUCAAUAUCGUUGUCGGGUUGCUUUGGACCUUGGAUAAGCACUGGCAUCAUAAUGAACUUCCGCUUCAUGCACAACCAAGGAGGAAGGUUGUAGAUACAUAGAGUAACGGGCCAGGUGCUGUGACUGCAACUCUGCUCCCCAAAAGGAUUCAUGGCAUCUGUACUCACACCAAACCAUAAGUUCCUUUCGUCACCUGCAAAUCUCAGGAACUCUCUCUCGAUUUUUCUCCACUGCCGACCAUCAGCGGGAUACCUCAACUUAUCGUCUUUCAUACGAUCUUCCAUGUGCCAUCGCAACAACUUCGCAUGAUCUUUAUUUCUGAACAGACGUUUCAACCGUGGUAUUAUAGGAGCAUACCACAUCACCUUGGCAGGAACCCUCUUCCUGGGUGGCUCACCCUCAAUAUCACCAGGGUCAUCUUUUCUGAUCUUAUACCGCAAUGCAGUGCAUACCGGGCAUUUAUCCAUAUUCUCGUACUUCUCACCGCGGUAGAGGAUGCAGUCAUUAGGGCAUGCAUGUAUCUUCUGCACGUCUAAUCCUAGAGGGCAGACAAGCUUCUUUGCUUCGUACGUGCUGGCGGGCAAUUCGUUCUUUCUUGGAAGCAUCUUCUUCAUCAGUACCAGCAAAUUUUCGAAUCACGAGAGUCAGUCACACCGGUCUCUGCCUUCCACUUCAGCAAUUCCAGUGUGCUACCCAGCUUCUUCUGGCCAUCUUCACAAGUUGGGUAAAACAAUUUGUUGUGGUCCUGUAACAUCUGCUCGAACUGCAACCUCUCCUUUUCUGUGUCGCAACCUCGCCGUGCAUCAGAAAUGACCCGGCCAAGAUCAUCAGCGGGCUCAUCUGGUUCCCGUCUUCAUCCUGAUCUUCUUCUUCAUUGUCUUCCAUUGCGGUAUCAGCAUACUCAGGGAACAUAGAUCGGUAGUUGUCAUCAUCGUUCUCUUCUUCUUCAUCAUCGUCUUCCAUCAUAACGCCUCUUUCUCCGUGAUUGGUCCAAACAUUAUAGCCCGACAUAAAACCGGACCGAAGCAGGUGGCUCUGAAUGACUCUUGAGGAAGUGUAAUCCUUCUCAUUCCGACAUUCAACACAUGGACAAAACAUAUAGCCACCACCAUGCUUGUUCGCAUCGGCUGCAUCUCGAAAAGAAUGCAUGCCUUCUCUGUAAGCGGUUGUGCGUCGAUCACCGUACAUCCAUGGAUGGCUCAUCUGCGUUAUACGACAGUAUAUCAAAUACAAUCACGAUCCUAAAAAUUAGUACCGCACGGUCUAAACGAGGAAAUAUAGUUGCUAACCUUUUAGAAUAAGUAGAAAUAAAGAGGAAGAGGUUUAAGCGUGGCUCGGGCAUCUCAUAUCGUAGUUGUGUUCGGUGAACUGAAGCGGCAUCGCUCUAACACACAUUUCAACAAACACCUCUAGUGCAUCCAAGAAAAAUGGAGAGCUAGCACACACCCACACUCUUCCAUCCAAGAAAAAUGCAAGAAAGAGGGGAGAGGGGGGUUGUGGCCAAUAUAUAUAGGCAGAGGACUUUAGUCCCGGUUUGAGACACAAACCGGGACUAAAGGUGACGCACAUGCGGGCUGCACACCGCGUAGCCCUUUAGUCUCGGUUUAUGUCUCGAACCGGGACUAAAGGCUCCUUACGGGCCGGGACCAAAGCCUUGUGGGCGGCAUUGCGAUUUUGGGGCGACGUGGCCGGGCCUUUAGUCCCGGCCCAGAUGGAGGCCGGGACUAAAGGGUCCAGGCCAAAGGCCCGUUUUCCACUAGUGAUUAUUCACAUAUGACAUUGUACUAUUUUUUUUAUUUGUUAUAAUGGAAAUCUUAGCUGAAAUUUUGAAUUAGAAAAUGCAAAGAAUCAAGUGUACCAUAUAUCUUCGAAAAUAUGUAACACUGUGUACAAAUAAGAAGGACACGUGCAACCAUCAUGAAAUAGUCGACCAACCCUUUGACAACCUUUGAAUAAACGAAUCAUGUAUGCUCGAUGAGUUCAAUUUGCAGCUGCAAUUGUGUGGAAGGGGACUAAUGGAAUGACAAUUGAAAAUUUGAGUAAAAUUAUAUUACUAUAUAGAAAUGAGGGAGGCCAGAGAGUGAAAAAUACAACCAUCAGGUAUAAGUUGCACAACUCUAGAGUAGUGUGACUAAAUGAAUCAUGUAUGCCCGAUGAGUUUGAUUUGUAUAGUAGUAAUUGUAUCGAAGUAGACCAAUGGAAUGACAAGCAAAAAAAAAAAUUGAAUCUGGUUUCAUUUCUGGGAAGAAAUGAGGAUGGCGAGAGAAAAAAUAGUGAGUAAAAAUAUCAAAUUAACUACGGAAAUAUGUUAGAGACAUCUGUGUAUAUUCACAUGUGUACAUGCAAAAUGCGGGAAAAAAAUACGAACUCAGUUGCCAAAAUUUGGUUUAUAUUCGAUGCAUCGUACCGUAUAAAAAAAUCAUUUGAUAUCUUAGAUGUAUUGACACGUAUGGAUUCAUUUGUAUAAAAGAAGAGUUGUGUGAGUAUAAAAGAAUCGAACUAAGGUACUCAUGAAUUGGCGAUCAUGAGCAUAGUUUUGGGACACCCAUAAAUGACAAUGAAACGAUAGAUAAUGAAGACUUUAAUAGAUUACACAUGUACUAAGAUUAGGUGCAAAAACAGGAGAAUAGUAGAAUCAAUCUGGAUGUGGUGUGCAACUCACAUAACAUAUUAAAUAUUAUAUUUGGUGGGAGUAAAGAUCUGACACAAAUGAAAAUCAUUUCAGGGGUGCAAUAAGUUGUCUCAGUUAUGCUUAAAGAUAUAAGUAUCAGAAAAACAUUUGUGCGUAUUUGUAUUGUAAACUAUAUAGGGGCAAGUGAAAUGAGAUAUUCUAGAAAAUUUCAGCGAAUGUUUCCAAGGGGGGGGGGGGGGGGGGAGCCAUGAGUAUGUGAAUCAUAAUUGCGUGAUUGUACAUCUAGUCCCCACCGUAGGGACUUAGGAUGUGUCUCAUUGAUAACUAAAUUUUCACAAGCAAGCAAGCAAAAUAGUAAUGUAACAUAUAUUGAGAAUCACAUAAAGAAAGCAAUAAUGAGACGUAAUUGGAGAUAAUGUUUUAAGGUUGUAAACACCACAUAUCCCGAGAAUGUAGUAUGAAUUAUUUGUAUCAUGCAUAAAAAGGUGAUAAGUAAUUUAUUUCAGGCAGACUGAAUUUGGAGUUCUCAAUUGUAUUUCUAAUUUAGAAUAUCCUCAUGAUUCAGUAUACUACAAUUAUGCAUUAUUUUAUACUCCCUCCGUUUCUAAAUAUAAGUCUUUUAAGAUAUUUCACUAGAAGUCUACAUACGGAGCAAAAUGAGUUAAUCUACAUUGUAAAGUAUGUCUAUAUGCAUCCGUAUGUAGUUCACUAAAGAAACCUCUUUAAAGUCUUAUAUUUAGGAACGGAGGGAGUACAAAUUUAUCGAUAAUGCUGAAUAUUUGAAUUAUCAACCAAUAUUUAUAUUAAUAGAAAACUCUAGCCGUGCAAAUGUGUGGGUAACUCCGUUAGUUAUACUAAUAAAAUAUGAUGCCAAUCACCAUGGGGCGUCGGCAGAUCGCAAUCCUUUACUCUGUCUAAUUUUAAAACUAAAUAGUAUAUGCAGUGGUUGAUGCCGGAAUGAAUCAAAUGAUGCGGAUAAUAGGUAAAUCCUCUGUUUUUAAAUAUAAGACCCUUUUACAGCUUAAUUUAGAAACAGAGGCAGUGCCAUUUUUGCCAUAAAGCGAAAGUUUGCACAAUAUUUUAAGUGUAUGGCGAUCAAGUGAACUGUCUAAUGGCCAAUGGGUACGAUGAUAAUGACUUGUGUGUACCUUGUCCCAAUCCACCUUUGUUAGGUGGCACAUAGUGGUCAUAAUUAUCUUCUUCCGUCCAAAAUAUGCAGCUGGUCAGUCAAGUGUUUACGUAAGGUUCCUUCAAUUAAGCUGUAGCACCUAGCAGGGAAACUAUACGUUUAUGAAAUUAUCUCCCAAGAAAAUUUACGAAUAAAAUUUUCGAGUAUCUAAUCUGAGGUUUCGUAAGUUUAUAAUAUUCAAGUAAAAAUUGAUUUACCCCUACAAGGGGAGAAAUCCUCACUUUUUUCCUUUUCAAUAUUAGGCAGUAGUAGGCAGAGAUGGUGAAUAUAAAGGUGGUGCAGGAUUUAGGUGUACGUGUUCAAAAAAUUCUUCUGAUCUCACUACUAGUAUUUCUCGACCAAGAAAUGUCGGUCAAGACAGGCUCACGUGGCAUGUUAAUUACUUAGUGGAGCAGAUAUGUAUUACAUUUUUAAAGAAGGAAACUUAAGAAGUUGGGCCAUCAAUUAAGUUCUAGCAGCCAGAUUGGUUGAUAGUACUUGACUUGUUCUAUUUGCUCACAUGCAAGUUCAUGCACAUCACCACACUGUUGCUUGCACCAGCUCUAUCAAUCUGCGGCUAUUUAAGCACACCCAUACAUGCCUCCAUUGACAAAGCAACUCACAAUGGCUUCUUCUUCCACAUUGUUUUGCCUUUCUGCCCUCCUUGUGCUGGCCUCAAGGCAGGCCACUGCCUACGAUCCUAGCCCUCUUCAAGAUUUCUGCAUCGCCGACAUGAAGGCGCCUGGUAUGCACUACGUAUAGUGUGCACGUAUAGAUGUGUGCCCUUAAUUCUAGUGGUGGUAUAGUUAAUGUUGUGAUAGCGUAGUACUGAUCACACAUUGAAGGUUACUACAUACUGAUAAUAGUUUUUUUUGUGUGGGGUACAUACUGAUAAUAGUUACAAAAGUAGUAUCACUACAUGCUCAAGCCACCCACACAUUUCUUACUUGCUUUAUGUUACUUUCUCUAUGCAUGCAGUGCGGGUCAAUGGAUUUGCUUGCAAGGACCCAAUGGCCGCAACCCCGGAAGACUUCUUCAACGCAGCCAUGCUCGAUCAGCCUAGGGAUACCAAGGCCAGCAAGGUCAGGUCCAACGUCACCAACAUCAAUGUCAUCAAUUUCCCUGGCCUCAACACCCUCGGCAUCUCCCUGGCACGCAUCGACUAUGGGCCAUUAGGUGUCAACACGCCGCACAUACACCCCCGUGCCACCGAGCUCCUCACGGUGCUUGAGGGGACACUCUACCUUGGAUUUGUCACAUCCAACCCAAACAGGCUCUUCUCCAAGAUAGUUAAGAAGGGUGAUGUAUUCGUAUUCCCAAAAGCAAUGAUUCACUUCCAAAUGAACCUGGCGCAUGACAAGCCAGCAGCCGCCUUGUCCUCGCUCAGCAGCCAAAACCCUGGGGUUAUUUCUAUCGCCAAUGCAGUCUUUGGAUCAAAGCCACCAAUUUCAGAUGAUGUUCUAGCCACGGCGUUUCAGGUGGAGAAGGAUCUGAUUCACUGGCUUCAAUCUCAGUUCUGGGAGAAUAACAACUACUAGAUACUCUCUUUCAUCUGGGCAUAUGGAAAGUUCAUAUGUAAUGCUAGUAUAUAGAAUAAAUGGCAUGUAAUAAUACGUAUGCAUGCAUGGUUGUGAGCUGUGUUUUCAUU
rnacentral:lncRNA from 1 species